GUUUUUGAUUUGACCACCGAACCAAAUGAUGUAUUAUGAAAUUAAGAUCAUCCAAAAUACACCGACCGUCCCUAGAGCAAGUGUUAAAGGGUUUGAUAGUUGGUACUCGAGACCCAAGUUCGAAUCCUAAUUGAUUCAUAUUUCUAGCUAAGUUUAUUUCUAAAUGAAAUAAACGAAGGAAAUAACGUGCUACCUAUCUCUCUCUCUCUCAAAAAAAAAAAAAAAGAUCAUCCAAAAUAUUUGCACUGAGGAAUAUGUCCACAAUGUUAAGUUGUACAGCAAAAUUAGUUGUUAUAAAAUUUCUGCAAGUUCAGUCACAAUUGGUCUAAAAAUAUAAUAUAUCGGAUAAAAUUUAUUCAAUUUAAAAGUUUAAAUUUUAGAUUAAAUCUAACUGUAUAAGUUAAUUUUAUUAUUUUUUAUUUAUCAUUCAGCAAGAGGCUAUUCCAAAUAUGAAUUUUUAGUAAGUACGGAAAACUACCCUCCAUUGCAGUUUAACAAAAAAAAAAAAAUCUAAACAGCCAUUUGGAAAAUAUUCUACCACUGCUAAAUAUUUUUAAAUAUUAUUGAUGAAAACUAAAUUUCCAAUUAAUUAUGUACCCCACUGUUACUUAGAUCUAAUAAUAGGAAUAUUAAUAAUAAUAUAGUUUUUAAGUACUCUCCAAUCCCGAUAACUAAUUUAACUUCUUUAUGGAUUUCUUAAUUUAGAUCGUUAGUAGUUAACAAAGGUUUCUGAUCAUUAGAAUAUUGCAUGAAUCUGAACUUUUGUAGAUAAUCUCAACAUAGUUAACUAGUAACAAGAAUAUAAUAAGGUCUAAAGAAUCCUAAUUGCUUCUUAAGUGAAUGAUUAACUUAAAAUAAGAUAUCCCAACCAAGAAUCCAAGAUUCCUCUUGGGGAUAAUUAAGUGUAUUUUUUUAGUGAUUUUUUUAUGCCUAAUCUAAUGAUCAGGAAUGAAACAAGUCAUUCACAUGGUACAAAUCACACUGCACACUCACAUGAACUAGUAUUAUAAUGGGUAGCUAACUCAUUGCUUCAAUACCACAAGUAACUAUCAAAUAUUUGUUUAUUGCUAAAAAUAUCUGCAGUAGUCUUUUUAGCUGCUUGUGCAUAGCCCUGUAGUUGUCUUCAAGUGUAUUAAUUAAUUUUAAGGGAUAAUUGCCUAUAUACCCUUCAAAAUUUCAAAAAUAUCUUUUUUUUUUUUUUUCUUUCCAAUAUAUCCCUCAUAUAUUCCUCCAUUAUUUCAAAAUAUCUCUACAAUUACCAUCCGUUAAGUUAACUUAAGUUAAAUGUGAAUUAAAUAUCUACCACAGUUUAAAAAAAUUAAAAUGCAAAUUUUGCUCUUAACUUAAAGGCAAAUAAAAAAUAUUGGUGACGGUAGAUGGGUACAUUUGAAAAGACCAAAAGUCAAAAUAUUUUUUGUGCCCCUGACUUAAUGGCAAAUAAAAAAAUCGAUGAUGAUGGAAGGGUAUAUUUGAAAGGACAAAAUAGUAAUUUUAUACAGAUAACAGAGUUCAUUAACAUAUUUUAACUCUAGGGGUAUAUUUGAAAUAAAUUAGAAUGUAAAAAAAGUAUUUUUAAUAUUAGCCUUUCCAAAAAAGUAAAUCAGAAAGUCGAGAACUUUUUCAGGAAUAUAUAAGCAAUUGCCCCUAAUUUUAAACUACUUGUUUUAAGAUUCAAGAAGCACCGUUUUAGUCAAUUUACAGUAAUUUUUUUAUUGAUCCGGAGAAUAAGAAAUUUUUGAGUAUUACUAAAUGUGGUCGCCUAUCUGAAAGCAAAUUUUAUGUCAAUUGCUGACUUGAUUGGCUGUUAUAUUACCAUCAAUAAUUGAGUUGAUUUUGAUUAAAAUAAUAGAAUAAACUGGUUUUAUGUAGAUGAAGAUCCGAUCUAGUAGUAAAUUUAUGUCUUAUCUCCCACUCUCUAGAUUUGUUUUCGUUUGUUUUAAACCCCUUUAAUUUCUUUUUUCCUUUCCACCAGAUGUAUCAUUUAGUUUGCUCUUCAUAGCAUGAUAUUUUUACUAAAUUAAAAUAAAUAUUUUAAACUAGUUGAAAUGUUGGAUGGAGGGUAAUGGACAUUUACUGCUCAAAUAAAAAAAUUAAUAUGAAAAUAAAACCAAAUAAACAUUAUCCUCACAAAUUCACGUUAGAGCUAUACUCUUUUCCUGUUUUUAAAAAAAAAGUGUAAUUAAUCUAAUUUAAGAGUUACCUUUUAUCACACUAGUUAUAUUAUAACUCUAUUUUACAAAAUUAUAUAAAUUUUUAUAUGAGUGAGAUGUUAAAUUUAUACUUCAUUUCUAAUUAUACACAUGAUAAUUUUUUUUUUUCAGAAAAAAAAGAAAAGAAAUUCUAUCUUUUCCGAAAUUGGGACAGAGCAGAUUCCCCUUAGCAAAAUUGAGACAGACCAAGAAAAAUCAGAUAAUAAAAAGAAAGGAACGAAAUACACAUCACUUCAUAAACCCUAGAGAGAGCAUAUUUUUCUUUUCAUUUUCCCUAUUAAUAUAUAUUUCCCUUUAAAGCGAAGAAGAAGAAGCAGCAGCAGCAGUGUCACUCUCCUUGCUAUCUUUUACCCCCUCAUCUCUCCUCUCUAGCCGUCCAGGAGCAAGAAAAGAGAAGGAAAAGAGAAAAGAAAGGAGGCCACUAUCCCUUCCCCCCCAACCCUCUCUCACCCAAACUCUCUCCCUCCUCCUACUUUUGCUAUACUUUAUCAAGAGCAAAGUUUAAAAACAAAUUCUCAGUACCGUCUUCUUAUUUCCCAUUCCGAGUACUACCUACUAAAAAAUUCUUCAAGACAUGGCGUCGGGCAGCCGCGACGCGGCGAACGCGCCCCGCUCGCAGUCGUCCGGCGGCAGCAACGUCCGCGGCGCGAACGCGGCGGCGGAGUACACGGUGAGCAAGGCGAUCGCACAGUACACGGUGGACGCGCGGCUGCACGCGGUGUUCGAGCAGUCGGGCGAGCGCGGGAGCUCCUUCGACUACUCGCAGUCCGUCCUCCGCACGCCGCAGCCAGCCUCGUCGAAUUCCGCGGCGGCGGCCGAGCGGCAGAUCACGGCCUACCUCUCGCGGAUCCAGCGCGGCGGCCACAUCCAGCCCUUCGGCUGCACCCUCGCCGUCGACGACUCCUCCUUCCGCGUGCUCGCCUUCUCCGAGAACGCCCCCGAGCUCCUCGACCUCCUCCCCCCGCACUCCCUCGUCCCCUCCCUGCCCGACGCCGACGACGACGCCCGCGGCGGCCUCCGCCUCGGCUGCGACGCGCGCUCCCUCUUCGCCCCCGCCUCCGCCGCCCUGCUCGAGCGCGCCGCCGCCGCGCGCGAGAUCAGCCUCCUCAACCCGCUCUGGGUGCACUCCCGCGCGGCGUCGGCGAAGCCCUUCUACGCCAUCCUCCACCGCGUGGACGUCGGCAUCGUGGUGGACCUCGAGCCCGCCCCGCGCUCGGACGACCCCACCCUCUCCGUCGCCGGCGCCGUGCAGUCGCAGAAGCUGGCCGUGCGCGCCAUCUCGCGCCUGCAGGCCCUCCCGGGCGGGGACGUGCGGCUGCUCUGCGACACCGUCGUCCAGCACGUGCGCGAGCUGACGGGGUACGACCGCGUGAUGGUGUACAGGUUCCACGAGGACGAGCACGGCGAGGUGGUGGCCGAGAGCCGGCGCGCCGACCUGGAGCCCUACAUCGGCCUCCACUACCCGGCCACCGACAUCCCGCAGGCGUCCCGCUUCCUCUUCCGGCAGAACCGGGUGCGCAUGAUCGCCGACUGCCACGCGCCCCCCGUGCGCGUGCUGCAGGACCCCGCCCUCCCCCAGCCGCUCUGCCUCGUCGGCUCCACCCUGCGCGCCCCGCACGGCUGCCACGCCCAGUACAUGGCCAGCAUGGGCUCCACCGCCUCCCUCGCCAUGGCCGUCAUCAUCAACGCCAGCCCCGGCACCACCGACGUCGACGACAAGGCCUCGAGCUCCUCCUCGGCCAUGAAGCUGUGGGGGCUGGUGGUCUGCCACCACACCUCCCCGCGCUGCAUCCCCUUCCCGCUCCGCUACGCCUGCGAGUUCCUGAUGCAGGCCUUCGGGCUGCAGCUGAACAUGGAGCUGCAGCUGGGGCUCCAGCUGUCGGAGAAGCGCAUCCUGCGCACCCAGACGCUGCUCUGCGACAUGCUCCUCCGCGACUCCCCCACGGGGAUCGUCACGCAGAGCCCCAGCAUCAUGGACCUCGUCAAGUGCGACGGCGCCGCCCUCUUCUACCGCGGCCGCUACUACCCGCUCGGCGUCACCCCCACCGAGCCCCAGAUCCGGGACCUCAUCGGCUGGCUCGCCGCCUCCCACGGCGACUCCACCGGCCUCAGCACCGACAGCCUCGCCGACGCCGGCUACCCCAACGCCGCCGCCCUCGGCGACGCCGUCUGCGGCAUGGCCGUCGCCUACAUCACCCCCGACGACUACCUCUUCUGGUUCCGCUCCCACACCGCCAAGGAGAUCAAGUGGGGCGGCGCCAAGCACCACCCCAACGACAAGGACGACGGCCAGCGCAUGCACCCCCGCUCCUCCUUCAAGGCCUUCCUCGAGGUCGUCAAGAGCCGCAGCCUGCCCUGGGAGAACGCCGAGAUGGACGCCAUCCACUCCCUGCAGCUCAUCCUGCGCGACUCCUUCAGGGACGCCGCCGCCGCCGCCGCCGCCGCCGAGGGCACGACCGCCGUAGCAGGCAGCAGCGGCGGCGGCGGCAGCAGGGUUCUCUCUCGGCCCCUGCUCUGCGGCAAUUCCCGAAAAGCUCGCAAAGCGCCUCGGCCCUCUCUUUUGGCCCUGGGAAAAGGUUAUUUUCGUUUUGCGUUUUUGAUUCGAAUUUCACUAGUGAUUUUAUCGAACCAUCGAGGUUCUNCGGCAGCUCCAAGGCCGUCGUGAACGGGCAGCUCGGCGACCUGGAGCUGCAGGGGAUAGAGGAGCUCAGCUCCGUCGCGAGGGAGAUGGUCAGGCUGAUCGAGACGGCCACCGCCCCCAUUUUCGCGGUCGACUCGAACGGCCAGAUCAACGGCUGGAACACGAAGGUCGCCGAGCUGACGGGUCUGUCGGUCGAGGAAGCUAUGGGCAAGUCGCUGGUUCACGAUCUCGUCUUUAAGGAGUCGGUGGAAGUCACAGAUAAGCUUCUCUACCGAGCUCUACAAGGUUCCCCUAGACUCCUCCCUAUCCUCCUUCUUCUUCUUCCUAUGAUGAUGAUGAGUCAUGUCUUAACCUUUAUUUAUUUACUUAUCUAUCUACUUAUUAUAUUUGCCGCUCAAUCUGACUCUGCAACUUCGUUUAACGAUUGAUAGACCACGUAAGAUUGAAGCUUGUUUUAUAGGUCCUGUAAAAUGUGGCGCAAUGUGAUCAACUAUCUUGGCAUGAUUUGGAAAAUAACCAGAUUUGUGCAUAAAAUGUCAUCGGCAAACUCGGCCUGGGCAAAAUUAGUGAGUUGUCUCCAGAUGAAAUCCAGGAGAACCAGGUCGUCGUACCGAUAUCCCAAAUAGUAGCUGAAAUAGUUAAGCGAGUAGGAUACCUAUCCUACUCUAUGUAACUGUUUAGUGGCUUUGAGUUUUUCUUGAAUUAGAUAGCGCACUUACAUGUGAGAGGUCUUUAAGAUGGAUAGUAUUCUACCUACCUAUUGUAAAUUUACUGAAACGCUAUAAUUCGUAUUAUAUAGACCGGAAGGGCUUUGGACGUGAAAAUGUGUUAAAAACCAAGCAGUUUCUGAGCAUUAAGUUAACUUCAGAACUAGGUGGUCUGCCGUGUUAGGGCAUAGUAGCUAUCCUUUUCAUCCUGAUCGAUAUCCUCCUUGUAUUUUCUUGAGGACCGGAUCUUUGCCAUCGCCGUUGCUUUAUUAGUAGUAUUUAUGUGUUUUCUCUUUUUAGUCCAAAAAAUGACUAGUUCGCACACUGUUUUUAAGCACUACAUUCCUUCGCUCAUGCAGGUGAAGAAGAUAAAAAUGUCGAAAUAAAGCUGAAAACAUUUGGCUCUCAGCAAUCCAAGAAUGCUAUAUUCGUCGUAGUCAACGCGUGCUCUAGCAGGGAUUACACAAAUAACAUCGUAGGAGUAUGUUUUGUCGGUCAGGAUGUUACCGGCCAAAAAGUGGUGAUGGAUAAGUUCGUUCAUAUCCAAGGUGAUUACAAGGCCAUAGUGCACAGUCCUAACCCUCUGAUACCCCCUAUAUUCGCUUCGGAUGAGAACACCUGCUGCUCAGAAUGGAACAUGGCUAUGGAAAAGCUUACUGGUUGGCCAAGUGGGGAGGUUAUUGGGAAGCUCUUGGUAGGGGAGAUCUUCGGGAGUUGCUGUAGACUCAAGGGUCCAGAUGCGCUCACCAAGUUCAUGAUAGUCCUUCAUAAUGCUAUAGGAGGACGAGAGACCGAUAAGUUCCCUUUCGCAUUUUUCGACAAGAAUGGAAAGUACGUGCAAGCUCUAUUGACCGCAAACACGAGAAGUAAAAUGGAUGGUGAGACAAUUGGAGCGUUUUGCUUCUUGCAGAUUGCAAGUCCUGAGCUGCAGCAAGCUCUUGAAAUUCAGAGGCAGCAGGAAAAGAAGUGCUAUGCCAGAAUGAAGGAAUUGGCUUAUAUCUGUCAAGAGAUCAAAAACCCAUUAAGUGGGAUUCGGUUUACGAACUCCUUGCUGGAGAUGACGGACUUAAAUGAUGAUCAGAAGCAGUUUCUUGAAACAAGCGCUUCUUGUGAGAAGCAGAUGUUGAAGAUAAUAAAGGACGCCAAUCUGCACAGCAUUGAUGAUGGGUUAGUUCUCUUCUUUUGAAUUUCCAAUUUUACUGGUAUACAGUUUUUAUAACUAUUGUGUUUCAUUUAUAGUUCUACGUUCCUGUGUCACUGAUUUUCUUGUUCCAAGUUGGCCACAAAUUUAAUUCGGCAGUUGUGCGCAGAAUUGCAGUUUAAGCGUGGAUAGGAAGUCGCAUUAGAGAAUUCCUCAUGUAUAACUCUUUUAUUGCUCCAGGGAUCACUCAGAUAGGAUAGAGGUGAUUAGGAAAAUUCCUUGGCGUGGCUUCUCUGUUGCAGUCUUUGCUCCAUUCUACCCAGUAUUAACUAUCUUUAUUGACUUCUCGCGUGACACACGGCUCUCACAAGGAAUGUUGUUUUAGAAUGUUUGCUUUUAUUCUUGUAAUAAUGAUAUUAUACUCCAGUUAGAUGUGAUAUCGGUUUUUAAAUUGAUCUAUGUUUUACUUAAUGGUUUUCAACUACUCACUGUACUAAUCCUUUUCCUUCAUACCAGCUCCCUGGUGCUUGACAAAAGUGUAUUUCCUGUUGGGAGUGUCAUUAAUGCUGUUGUGAGCCAAGUCAUGAUUUUGCUGAGAGAAAGAGGCUUACAAUUGAUUCGUGAUAUUCCUGAAGAAAUUAAAGAAAUUUCUGUCUACGGCGAUCAAUUUAGAAUUCAACAAGUUCUAGCUGAUUUUUUGCUGAACAUGGUGCGGUGUGCACCCUCCGAAAAUGGUUGGGUAGAGAUCCAAGUGAGGCCGAAUUUGAAACAGAAUCCUGAUGGAACAGAAACAGUGCUCCUCCUCUUCAGGUGUGCCAAACUUUUUACUCAGCCUUUAAAAUGUAGAUUAGCACUAUUUGCUGUUUUUAUACCAAUAGAUGACUUGUUAGCAGAACAAUUAGUUUAUGUUGUUUUUCGUUCGUUACAUCCCAUUAUUCUUCUUUAUUAAGGCAGUGUUGGUUCAGGGAACAACCUUCUUUGGGACAGUUAUUUUUCUACACAGAAAUAAAGGAUAUUAAGUAUCCCUGCUCUCAUUAUCUCAUAUGGGUGUUUAAUCUGGAAUAGUGCAUAAAGUUGUUAAUCAUUCUCCCUAAAUAUUAAGGUUACCCCAAAAACUGGAACUAAAUGUCUGGCAUUCUAGUUAGUUCAAGACUUCUCGGAACUCCAUGAUAAUUGUUGAAAGCAAUACAAAUGAGAGGAUCGCUUUUGUUUGUUUAGAUAUUAUAGUGGUCGGAAUACUAGAAUUUUAGCAUUCUCUAAUCACAGUUCAGUUACAUGUCAGUAGGGUGGUCCCUAAGUAUGUAUACAGGAAGUAGUUUUCCUCAAUGCAGGAAAAAAAAAAUUGCAGCUCAUUAACACAAAAUUCUCUCUCAUCUCUUAUUGAGCCACUGAGAUAAGAUAUAUACCAGCAAACUUCCUCUGGGAAGUACUUGUUAAACUUUUUUUUUUUAGCGUUUUUUUUAGUGAAAAUUUAAUUUUUUGCAUUGAUGGUAUAUGAAUUUUUGUUGUCAUCUUUCUUAGUAUAUUCUUCACAUUAUCAUUCUACAAAGAGUAUUGCUAAGCGCACCUUAGAAAGUCCUUCCAAAUGCUGCUAAUGACUUUUUAGAAACUUUUGUUAGCAAGUUUUGUCAUUUGGUUCGUAAUCACCAAUUACUAGGUAAGUUGCAAGAUUUCCCUUUCUUCAUAUAAAUAUGUUCUUAAAGUAUACUUCUAAUUGUUGUACCUAAAUUUCCACCGUUAGUGCUAACAAUUUAGAUGGUUGACGCAUUGAUGUUACAGAACCAUCCCCUACUCAUUCCUCACCGUUGCUUUGUAUCUUGUGCUCCAGAUUUGCUUGCCCUGGCGAGGGCCUUGCUCCCGAACUCGUCCAAGACAUGUUCCAUAAUUCGCGGUGGGCGACCGAAGAAGGUCUCGGGCUAAGCAUUUGCCGGAAAAUCCUCAAGCUAAUGGGUGGCGACGUCCAAUACAUUCGGGAGUCAGAGAGGUGUUUCUUCCUCAUCGCCUUAGAACUUCCCACUUCUCAGAAAAGUGGAAGCAGAGACGAUUAACACAUUCAACCACUUACUGAACUAACAACGCGAUGCUACUAUAUUAUAAGUUGGUCGAAAGCUGCACCCCGUAAGGCCGCAGCGGGAUGUACAAGCCCCCAGAAACCGUAGUUGAAGCUGCUUUAGAAGCUCGAGUUUUGCUGGUUAUGCGGCGAAAUGGCUUUUCUCUCUCCAACUAUCGCUUUCUGCGGGUUGCUUGGCGGUUGUUUGUAAGAAUUGAGUUAGGUGUAUCGCUGUAUUAGUAAUUUUCCGGAGUUUCAUGAGAGUUGCGUCUACGAUGGUUGUUUCAUCUCACUAAGGACCAUUUUCUUCGUACAUUUUUCGAAUUCCUGAUGUCUGCAUGGUGGCUUUAAAGCUUCCAAGCAGGGUUCUCCAUAGGGGCUAAUGUAUGUAUAUUAUUGGUCUUUGUGUUUGCAUUGUAUCUUAGGGGCUGUUUGGUUCCAAAUAAAACUCUGAAAAAAAAAUUUUGUGAAAGAAAAAAAUCAGAGGAAAGUAAGUUUAACGCUCUUUAAUGUUUGAUUUGUUGGAAAAGAAAAUUAAUUUUACAUUAUGAUUGUUUGAUUGAAAAGACAGAGAAUAAAUAAAUAAUUAAUUAAUUAUUAUAUAUAUUUUUUUUUCUAUUCCACAUUUUAUAUUAUUGGUAUAUAUGGUAAUUAUCAUAAUAUAUUUAUUAUUUANUAAUACUAUUUUAUUUUUAUAUAUUAUACAAAUAUAUUAUUUUAUAAUAUAUUAUUUAAAAGUAAUAUUUAUAAAUAUAAACUAUAAUAAAUAAUUAAUUAAUUAUUAUAUAUAUUUUUUUUUCUAUUCCACAUUUUAUAUUAUUGGUAUAUAUGGUAAUUAUCAUAAUAUAUUUAUUAUUUAUUAUAGUUUAUAUUUAUAAAUAUUACUUUUAAAUAAUAUAUUAUAAAAUAAUAUAUUUGUAUAAUAUAUAAAAAUAAAAUAGUAUUAUUUUAUAUAUAUAUAUCAAGGGAGUAUGUAUUUUCGAUUUUUUAAUUUUUGGAUCAAAGAUUGUACGGUUAAAAUUAUAGCGUUCCGAUCCCCCGAGUGAGAGUACACGGCGUUUAUUUUUUUUGAGAAAAUUAUUUUUACGGACAACCAAACGUCAGAAAGUCAAUUCUUCAAGUGAAAAAUAAUUUUCAAAGUAAUUUUUCGAGAACCCAAACACCCCCUUAUAGACGUCGAAAUAGAAUUUUCAAAUUCCCACUACAAUAAUUUUGUUCUAUUACACGAGGCCGUUAUAAACUGAUUCAAAAUUUCAAAUUCACACUUAUGUUUUCAAACAGUAAGUUCUAUAAUUUUUUAUUUGAAACUCCAUUUACUCUCAAAAUGGCAAACAGCAUCCGGGAAUUUUCAGGCGGUGGCUUGCCAACGUUACGCAACGUACGCCACAGAAAAGCUUAUCCGACUUAAAAAGGUUGCCGUACGACAUUAUUUUAGUGGGCCCCACACCACAAGCUCAGAACCUAAUCUGCUUUUUUUGGGGCAGGCGACAGGUGGGUUUUUGGCGCUUUUUUGUCUGCUUUCCCGAACAGCUUUUCUUGUACCCAUUACAGGAUUCAAUAAAAAUAGAAGGUUCAAAAUGGACAACUUGUUUUGCUUUUACUGCAGUAUAAAGCUAUCUAUUUCAAUAGUAUUUUUUUUUUUACCAUAUUCGAAUAGUGUUUAUGUAGAAGCUAGAUUGGAGUCUCAGCAGGUCUACGUCUCAUUCAGAAAUGUGGGAUCGAAAUCAAAAUAUUCAAGUUGAGCUUGUUUAGGCCCACGACAAAGGAUCCAGACCUUUCUGGAAGAUGCUUGUACUAAAUUUUGGGCUGAAUUGGGCUUGGCUCAAGAUUCCUUCCGCUUAACGGCCCAACCAAGUGACAUUUUCGGUCUUCGUAACGAGAAUCUUUUGGGCCGGGCUAGGUGGGUCGUCAAAGUCGAGUUUGCUCUUUAGGGUUUCGAGUUCUUUUUUCAUUAUAAACAAGCCGAAAAAUUCAGCUCGUGUUCGGUUCGUUUACUAAACGAGCGAUUCGAUCUCGAGCUCAUUUCGAGCCGAACAUGAGCUGGCUCACGAACAACGAGCUGAAUUGCCAUCCCUAGUAGUGAGUCAUGGGAUAUUUUAACUGAAAAAAAGGAUAAUAUUUGGUGGGGACAGUCCCCAUGGUGAGACAGUCUCAUUUAUUAUCCAUGCAGGUUUGAGAUUCAUGUUGUUCAUGUCGUGGACCAUGAACGCUUCGGUCUCGUGUUUGGCUAAAGCUUGCUCUAUAAAAAAAAAGUUAAAUAAUUUUUGUAUCUUAAAAUUUAAUAAUAGAAAUGGUAAUUAUCUCAAUCUUUUGCAACCAAUGAAGAAAAAACUAUUGAAAAAAAAUUUAAUAAAAAAUCUAUUAAUUAGUGCUUUUCUUUUAACAACUCAAGUCCAACAUUACUUUAAUAUGCAGCUCGAUCGAUGAAGAGCUAGAUAUCACUUUAUGGAAUUGUAAUAUCCGCACAAAGUAAUAUUCAACGAAAAAAAAGUAUGAAACAAAUGCAUCAAAGAGUUUUCUUUUUUUGUCUUUUUUCAUAACGAGAGAGACAGUGGGAGUGUCAGACCUUAUCCUAGAUUUCGCAACAUGUGAUGCGAUUAAUGCCAUGUUUCCUUCGCACAUGUCUAUCAUCGAUCAGGAGACUAGCAUCUCCCUCUGUUCCCACGUAAACAUUUCGUUAAACCGGCUUUUUCUAGCGCAAGUGAUAAAAAAUUUUGUGGUUGGUAUUUGAUAUUUUAAAUUCGAAUUUUACUUAAUUUAUAUGUAGGGAUGCAAACCGGGUGGAUCUGGGGACGGGAGCCCCGCCCCGCCUCCCGCCCCGACUAGCAAAAUUCCGUCCCGCCUUCCGUCCCGAAUCCGUGAUGGGUUAAAAAAUACAUCCCAUAAUCCGUCCCGCCUUAUAACCCGCCUUCUGCCGGCGUUCCAAAUCCGCCCUGCCAACUAAUAUUUUUUAUAAAAUUAUAAUAUUAUUAAUAUUUUAUAAAAUAUAAAAUAAUAAUUUUUAAUAAUAUUAUAUAUAUAAUUUAAUAAUAUUAAUUAUAAAAAUCAAAAAUAUCAAUCAUAAUUCAAAAUAAAAUUCAAAAUUUUCAAAUACAUUAGAAAUGAAAGUACUAACUUAUUUGUAUUUUAAUUUUUUUUAUAAAUACAUUAUUUUUUAGGAAUAUUUUUUAAAAAUAUAAAUGAUUUUUCAGGCGGAUUCGGGCAGAUUCGGGACGGAUCAUAUAUGGCGGGGCGGAUUCAGAACGGGUCAAAAUUUCUCAUGUUUCUUGUCCUGAAUUCGUCUCGGAUCAUAAAAUUUAUCCCGUUUUUCGGCCUGAAUCCGUUUAUUUUCUCCCAUUUACUGCUCCGUCGGGGCGGAUCGGGGUGGGAGCUCCACCAAUCCGGAUCCGUUUGCAUUCCUAUUUACAUGUCCAGCUAAGCUUAUUUGUAAAAAAAAAGUAAACGAAUUAGCGGGUAACAUAUUAUCUUUCUCUAAAUAAAGAACAUUUCGUUAAGAGUGUGUGUACUGUAAUUCAAAAAGUGACAAAACUGGAAAUUGGUAAGAAUUUUUCUUGUUUUCUGCAUUAUUGUUUGCUUUAAAUGCUUAUACUGAAACUUAAUUUCUAGAAGAUAAAUAAGUUAAUCUUGGCAUUAAGAUUGGUUUGGGAUAUUGUUGCCUAAUAUAUCUGCUUUUAUUCUUAUAAAAAACAUUUGAAAAUAUUUUGAAAAUAUUUUGAAAAUAUUCACCUCCAAUAUUAAAAUCCAGAAAAAUGCUUUGCUUACAAACACAUUUUACAAUAUUUUACCAAUUAUACAACUCAAUUGAUAGAUUUGAACUUCGAAAUUAUAAAUAUGUUAUACUUAUCUCUUCAUGAUUCGCACUUCUUCACUAGUUAAAUAAUACUGUAAAAUUUGUUUGUAAGUAUAACAUUAUUUCGAAAAUUGGUAGUGAGAACAAUCAUCUAUCGACCUGUAGUUGGAUGAAACAUUUUAAGUUCAAAACCUCCCUUCAAAGUAUAAAAGUAGAUGUGUUUAGACAUGGUAAUUAAGUCUAAACAAUCGACAAAGACAUAGGUAGUUAACUGUCACAUUUUGCUUAGUCGUCUCAUAAAUGAUACGUAGACUUAACUCACAGUUUUCAAUUUUUAUCUAUUUCUUUUUUAUGUUAGCGGUAGGUCUCGUGAUCCACUUAUAAGACACUUCAAAAGUCGUCAUUCUAAACUCGAAGCUUAGUUAUUUUAUAUUUUUAGCUGAAUUUAUUUUAGACAAAUUAAUGAAUGAGCAUUAUCUUCUUUUGUUAUCGUUUCUUUUAAGAAAAAUAUUGUUCUAGAAACCACAAAAACAAAAAACUCUCAAUUCUUUUUUAAUUAAAACACACAUUUAAAGAUUCGAACUCUUGAACGCUCUUUUUAGUGCCAUUUUUAUCAUCUGUGACUUUCUCACAAAUUCUUUUUUCCAGAAACAGACCUCUUUUUCUUUAAAAAUAGACUUUCUCACAAAGUUGCUACGUAGUCAUGUUAGCAAACGCAACCAAAACAAAUUCUUCAUGCAUGCAUGCAUAUUGCAUGCAUGUGCUUACGUACGUGCAUAUGAUAUGACAUGCAUGCAUGUACGUACGUACGCGCAUAGUACGUAUAACCGAGAACGUACGUACCCAAAUGUUUCACAAUACGUAUAUAUGGAUUCCAGGGGUGGCGGUGGUGGACCGCGUCCUAUUCAAGGUUAGUUGAGUGUUACGCGUGCAUUAAAGGAGCUUAGCUUUAGGCACCGGCACAAAUAUUUUGUAAUAAUAUUGCAUAUAUUAAUUUUUAAUAUUGUGUACGUUUUAAACAUUUUCAAAUAUUGUUUUGAACAAUUCUAAGAGAUUAUCUUAUAUCUAUUACUUUUUUUGUAAAUAUAUUUUAUGUUUAUCUCACUUAUCGCUCCGAUUAAUUAGACAAAUCACGCCACUCAAAUUAAUUGGGUUCCAUUCAUUUAUCCUAAUAAGAACAAAAAAAUCAUCAUACAAACAAGAAAAAAAAAUUAAUUAAUGAUGCUCUUUAAUUUCAUUCAAAUUUAUUUUUUGGGAAGGAACUAGCUAGGAUAUGUAUAUAUGAACUCUUCAGAUAAAUGUUCCGCUCUAAGAUUUUUAAAGCAACCUCCUUUGUUUUUGUUUUUGUUUUUGUGUUGGUUUAUGACAUUUUUUUUUUCUUUUUUUUUUAGCUGUGCAGUGGUAUUAUGAUCAGUGACACCAGAGUCAAAGUUGAUGGACUUUUUUGCCUUCUCCUGUGAGUGAGUGGUCUCGAUCGUAUGCUCCCCUUGUGCUCGACCCCUUAUAUAGAAAGAGUAGAGAGCUCAUGAGUAAGAAGAUGAUGCGCAACCACCUACAUUAAAUGCUCGCUCUAUAUAAGUAAGAGCAGGCACGCACCUCACUCCAAGCAAGCUUAAGCAGAAGCGCAGUAGAGCACUGUGGAGAAGAUGGGGAGGGUUCUGAGGAGUAAUGGAUGGGGAAUAUCAGUGUUAAUGGCAUUGAUGGUUUUGGUGUUUGUGGUGGGGAUAUGUGAAGGGAGGAGGUUGGAAAAGGAUGGGUUUCUUGGUGGGGGUGGUGGGUUUGGAGGAGGCGGCGGUGGAGGGCUAGGUGGAGGCCUUGGUGGUGGUAGUGGUGGUGGUGUUGGCGGUGGCUUUGGCGGCGGAAAAGGCGGCGGUGGUGGAAUUGGCGGUGGUGCUGGUGGAGGUCUUGGCGGUGGCGGUGGUGCCGGUGGAGGUUUUGGCGGUGGCGGUGGUGCCGGUGGUGGUCUUGGCGGUGGCGGUGGUGCCGGUGGAGGUCUUGGCGGUGGCGGUGGUGCCGGUGAGGUCUGGCGGUGGCGGGUGGUGCCGGUGUGUCUUGGCGGUGGCGGUGGUGCCGGUGGAGGUCUUGGCGGUGGCGUGUGUGCCGGUGGAGUCUUGGCGUGGCGUGGUGCGUGUGGUGGUGCUUGGCGGUGGCGGUGGUGCCGGUGGAGGUCUUGGUGUGUGGCGGCUCCUGGUGGUGCGUCUUGGCGGCGGCGCGGUGCAGGUGGUGGUCUUGGCGGCGGGCGGUCAGGUGUGGUCUUGGCGGCGGCGGCGGUGCCGGUGGUGUCUUGGCGGCGGCGCGGUGCCGGUGGUGGUCUUGGCGGUGGCGGCGGUGCUGGUGGUGGUCUCGGCGGUGGAGUGUGCCUUGGUGGUGUGGCGGAAUUGCGCGGCGGUGGCGCCGGUGGGGUGCUGGGCCGGUGGUGGGAUUGGAGGCGUGUCGGUGGCGCGAGCCCGGUGAGGAGUUGGCUCUGGCGGUGGUGCUGGGCCGGUGGUGUUGGCGGUGGAAAAGGAGCGGUGUUGGGCGGAGCUGGUGGUGAAUUGGGAGGUGGCGGCGGCGCCGGUGGGCAUUGGCGGUGGGUCUGGAGGAGGAGCCGGUGCCGGUGGCGGAAUUGGAGGGGGAGUAGGUGGUGGCGCCGGUGGAGGUGCUGGGGCCGGGGGCGGAUUCGGUGGCGGCAAAGGUGGCGGAAUUGGCGGCGGCGUCGGUGGAGGAGCCGGCGGAGGUGCGGGCGGUGGAUUCGGCGGAGGCGCAGGUGGCGGUGCCGGUGGUGGCUUGGGCGGCGGUGGGGCCGGCGGCGGAGGAGGGUUUGGAGGAGGAGGUGGUGGCGGAUUUUAGUAAGUUUGCUUAAAAUUUGUAUCACGCAAGUAAUAUACUCACCUGCUAUAUAGCAGGGUACUUUGUUGUCUCCGUUAUUGUUAUUAUGUGUAGGGGAAUAUAAAAUCCCCAAUCCGAAUAAUCCUGUGUAUUUGAUCUUUUAUAAUGUGAUGUUAUUAAUCUAUAUAUCUCCAUGAGUUUAUACAGUUCACUCCAUCGGCAGAACCUGUGACCUUUUCACUGCCCCGAGCGCUUCACUAUAGAUUUGUCAGAGUGACUCUUCUUUUGGAAUGGAUCUCAUUUUGUGCUCAAAUUGUCACUUAAAAAUUAAUAAUUAAAAUGUAUAGCACAUAAUUAAUUUUUAAAAUUGAAUCAUUAUUUCAUCAAAUUUGAGAAUAACAAUUGCGUUGCACGAUUUUCCAUAAAAAAAGGUAUCUGUUAAUCUUAUUCGUAUGAUACAACACCAAGGGUUAAAUAUAUCUAAUUGUUUGCUAAUAGUACACGGGCAACCAUUCCUUGCCAUUAAUAAAAUCUAUGCUCAAAAACGGAGCCACAUCUUGCUCACUGAGUUGCCGCGACCACCGAACCCGGUGCGCCGGGUCUGCGCCCGGUCCUUGGCAUGCAAAUUCUCCGAUCAAUAGGUUGCUGCAUGAACCAGAGCAAUUAGCAUUGCAAAGUAGAGAUUGAUGCACACUAAUUUAUGGAUAAUACAAUUUAAACAAUCAAUAAGCUACGUGUUGAUUAUCUCUUUCCCUUAUAAGACGCUAUGGUGGAAACUUAUUUUGCUACGUUGUAGGAUAUAAUUUAGUUCUGAGUCUUAACGACGGAGAACUUUUCCUAUAAUGGUAUUAUAAUACACAUUGUAUCGAAAUGCGUCCAACCAAUUCUAGUUUCACUUUUCAAAUAAGUCAAAUCAAAUAUGCCCUAAAAUGUUGUUUGUUAGACAUCUGUAUUACUAUGGAGCAUGUAUCACUUUUCGUAUCAACUGUGUUAGCAGAUAAAAAUUAGCAUGUUCGGAAUUAAUACGAGGCUUACUCUGUUUUGCCGGCGUAGCUCCAGUUGGUCCAACCAGCUGGAGUGAUGGUCUUGGAGAGGUAGGUCCCGGCAAAGACGACCCGCGAGUAAGCUUCAUUUGCUCGACCCAAGAAGACGUCGCCAACGCCAUACACCUUUCCUUUCAAGAACACGAACCCGCUGUCGUCGUCCGCAGAUCGCCUGUUGUGAGCCGUGAUGGAUCCGAGGAUCUUCGUUCUCCGGUCCGGGAGAACAAAUAUCUCACAACUCUGCAAUUGAUAGAGAAACAAAGAAACGUGCUUCAGUGCCAAAACUCGAUGGUUUGGAUUGUUCAAACUGUUUAACCUACCGAGCAUGUUACCUGAAAGAUCGAUUGGCCGCGGCCGAAGAUGAAAUCGAUGUUGCCUUGAAUGUAGCAGCUCUCGUAGUAAUGCCGGCCCUUGUGAUCGAAGAGAGUGUUGUGAGGGCUAUAAAAUGCGCAAUGGUAGAAAGCCGCCUUAUCGCCGGAGACCAUCGCAGCCACCGACUGGUUGAAAGGGGUACUCGGAACGCCGAUCGGAGCGUCGUUCUGCGACACACAUGUACAUCAAACUAUAAAUAAUUCUUUAUAAGAGAUGAGCAUGAGAACAAUACAUGAAGGGUGAAAAAUGUAUACCUUGAAGCUAAUGCCGAAGGCGACGAAGUUGUCGGCCCGGACGGUGAAAGUCGCGGACUCUGUGUUGUUGGUAGAGCUGUCGUCCCACACUAUCGCCGUCCUGCCCUUGCCAUUGCCCCUCAAGUAUAUGAAUGGCUUGUUCUCUGGUAUAAUUACCUUCUCUCUGCUCGCACACGCCACAACAGAAAAUUUUGAUUUUACUAUUUAAUAUUUUAAUUUUUUUAAUUUGAAUUGGUCAAUGGCACUUUGACUUUAUAUUUCAAAUGCAUCGUUUAUAUUUACAGAUUUAGUUAGUAUAUUUUAUUUUUCUCUUGACAAUUAGAGGCACAAGCAAGAAAUUCCCUAGUAGGAAUUCCAUUUGAGUCGGUCAAAAACCCAUUGCUUUGCUCUUUUGGGGUUGCUUUGAGUAAUAUCUAGUUAGUUGCUUCUACCGGCUUCUGGAACAGUAUUUUUGCUGGAGAAGCAUAAAUUAGAUGUUUGGUAAUUAGAACGAAAAGUAAAAUCAGAAUUUUGGAUCCUAAAUGUACAUCACAUAAUAUUAAAUCUAAUUGAAGCUUCUACUUCUAGCUAGUUUUAGUGUGAAUUCACAAGCAAAUCAGAUUGAAAAUAAAAGUUAUAAUUAUCUAUCUCUUGAAACUGGUUAUCUUGUCCUCUACCACAAUCUCUGACGUAAAUGGUGACAUCAGGAAGAUCACAGCACGGUCAAAUUAAGAGUGCAUGCAGUUAAUGAACGUAAAGAGCGUGAACACAUCUUUUUCAACAUCUCUCUUCCAUUUAUCCAAUAAAUAUGCAGUAAUAUACGACUUUAAAACUUUUUUAUCAGAAUAUAAUAAAUCAUGCAUGUCGUGGGUAAAAUGCUAGUAAAUGAUAAAUGUACCUGUAAACCCCGGCCCUAAGGUGGACUAUAAUCCAAUCCGAGUUCCCCUCCGGGACCGCGUCGAUAGCGGCUUGAACCGUUCUAUACUCUUCGGCCGGGCCGACGAGUACGGUGCGAUUGGCGCCGAUCUUCGACGUGAGGAGCGGAGCGUCGACGAUGUCCUUCCUCUUGCCAUCAACGAGAGCGUCGGCGAAAAUAGAAGAAGAGAUGGAGAGGAGGAGAAUUGCGACGAAGAGAGUGGAGAGAGGAGAUUGGGACAUGAUUGUUUUAGAUGAUAGAGGUUAAUAAUUGAUUAAUUAACAAUUAAUCACUUUUGGGGGAGAGAGAGAGAGAGAAAGAGGGGAUUUAAGAAAGGGACUUUGUUAAAAGUUUAAGAGGUGGAGAGGGAAACGCGGGGGAGUAGUUUAAAGUUUAAAAUGGGGCCAAACCGGGGUGUGUUUGUUUGUGUUGGGGUCCUCAUGCUCCCAAGUCCCAACUAAUUUAACUAAAGUGAGUUUCAGGGCAUUGUUUCAUUGGAUUUGGGCCUAAGGGGCACUAUACCAACUAUUUGUCGGAUCAUUGACGCUAACCAUUAAUCCCAAAAACUCGAGCUGUUAAAAAUAUGCAAUCAAUUCACUUAAAGCGUACAGGUACAGCACCCACAGGUCUCAAUAGUGACUCGGCUCAAUCAACUUCACGCCACUUCGAACAUGACUCGGCUCACCCAGCCUUACGCCAUUUCAAACAUAACUUGGCCCAAUAUGAUCUCCCGUCACAGAGCAGGUUGCUGAUCCAUUUAAACUAAUACUAUUGUCCUAAGCCAAUUAAUUAUUUGUUUUGUUCCGCUUUUACUUUUGUUUUCAGCAUCGCACAACUGUUUAUUGCCAAGCAUUUCACAACUAAAAAAAAAGUUGAAGGUUGCACUGCCAAGAAAGGUGAAAUGAUUUAUGAGCUUGAAAAAUAUUGCUCUAAUUUAGAAUAUCUAUUGUACUAUAGAAAAAGCUACUUCUAAUAACACUGUAUUUUAUUAUAAGGCUAAAUGGAUUGCAAGCUUUAGGUAUCUUUGGUACGAGAAUACUUUUUUGUUGAUUAUUCCUGUUAUAGGUACAAUUUCAAGUAUAAAUAGAAAUAAAAUUAAUUUUAUAUUUGGAUGAAAAGUGGGUUAUUUUCAAGAGUAAGAAAAAUAGUAUUUAGGUAGUUAGAUAGGAAUAAUAGGAAUAAAAGUGAUUAUAGUAGUUAAAUAAUAAUAUUGUAUAUACUUAAUUAAAAUCAAAAUAUUAAGUAAAUGAUAUUUAAUAAAUUAAUUAACUAAUUUAUCAUGAAUAUUAUUAGAUAAUCAUAAAUGUUAAUUAAUAAAUUAUCUAACUAUAAAUAAUUUGAUAAGUUAAUAAAUUAAGCUAAUAAAUUAAUAUAUUAGUAAAUUACUUAUUUAUUUAUUUAUUUAGUUAUUUAUUUAGUUAUAUUGGUCAAAAUAUUAAAAAUCAAUAUAGAUAUUGGUUAUUACAUAAAAACACUAAUAAAUAAUUAUUUAUUUAGCUAAUAUUUUUAUUAUUAAAUUAGUUAAUUAUUAAUUUAACUAAUUAAUUAAUAAAAUAAUAUAUAAUAUAUUAAUUAAUAAUAUUUUAUUAUUAAAUUAAUAGAGGUAUAAAGAGAAGAAAUUGUUAUUCCACUAAAAGGGUGAAACGACAAUUUCCCCCUCUUAACAGGUUAUUCUAGAAUAAUCCGUUAAGAGAGGGAUAAAAUAAACUCAUUCCCUCUUCUAGCGUUUGGAUGAAUUUGAGAGAUAAAAUGGUUUAUUCCCACUUUAUCACUCAACCAAACACUGCCUUAGUGUAUCCGAGGGGUAAGAUUUAGCUUGGUGAUGAACGAAGAUAACAAUCGAAGAAAGAGGAAGAGGAAUAGUUCGGCCUAAUACAAAAAUAUGAUCCGGUUUGAUUCAAACAAAAAAAGAGAAAAAUCUGAGCCGGUUCGAGAUGGAACCCAUAGUCGAUAGUGAUCGGUUCGGUUCAAGCAAAAAAAGAAAAAAAUUCGGUUAAAAAAUGAAAACAUGUGAAGCAGUUUGGUCAGUUCGGUCCGAUGCAACAGGUUAACUCGGUUCAGUUCAAGCAAAGAAAGAGAGAAACCGGAUUCGAUGUAAGUAAAGACAGAUGAAAACAUAUAGAUGACUUGAGCAGGUUUGGGGUUGCCCAUACUCAACAAUAAUCGAUUUAGUUCAAACAAAAAAAUAAAAAGGAUUUGAGCCAGUUCAGGAUGGAAUCCACAUCCAACAAUGAAAGGAAUGUUACCAUGUGACAAAUUUUAAAAAAUAAUAUAUAAGUAAUAUAAUAUAAUAUAAUAUAAUAUAAUAUAGAUAUAGAUAUUUGGUUUAGCUUCUAAAACAUAGUGCCAAGUGUUUACCCCCCAAAAAAAAAAAAUUGCGAAACUUUAGUACUUGUUUUAGCGGAAUGAAAUAAUUUCAGUGAAAAUGGUCUCACAAAUUGACCAGCAUCUAUUAGGCCAGGUGAACUUGUUGGAUUAAGCUACUAACAUCUUAGGGCCCAUUGGGUCAGCGUAGCUAAAGAUACCUGAAAAACUCCCGUAAAGUUACUAAGAUCGGAUGUGCCGGGGAGUAUGCGUUAUCUCGUUUGUCUCCCUGAGAAAUCGCGUCUCAUACAUCACACAGGACGCUCACAAUACAAAAUAAUCCUAUCUGAAAACGAAGAUACAGAUCUCUACGUAAUUUAUAAGAAUUGAAGUUUUGAAAUUUGGAGUGAUUCAGAAAAAUCAAAGCAUAGUUAUAUUAGACUAUUAGAAUGCAUGUCACAAGCUGAUGAGUGAUUGGACUGAAUGAAUUUAAUGAAGCGCUUUUGAGCCCAUUAAAUUCCAAUGAACAACCUAGCUAAAUUAGUUAAUUCGCGUAACAGCUAUGCUGGUAACAGAUCUAUUGCUUAAUUUAAUAUGCAAUAAUUAAGUUCUUGGACCUUUUUUUUGUGCAUGUGUGUUUGUGUGUGUUUGUGUUUCCUUGGACAAGUUGAGAUUAAUAAAUAAGCAAAUAUAUGUACUACAAAUGCAUGGUACAUGUGGAUUUUAGAGUGCAUUGAUGAUAGCGGGGGAUGGUGCGGUUGGUAGCCGUUGGUUUCGAAAUUUAAAAUAUUUUGAACGUUGAUUCGUAGCCAUCCCAAUAACAACGUAGUCAAUGCUCACAUGUCACAUCUUGAUUCAGAUUAUUUCAGAAAAGGUCAAAAAAUUAUAUAGAGACCCCUUAACUAUAUAGCACGUUUUGAAAUUGUUCCCUUCUUUAUUUUUCUUUCAACUUUUUAACUUUUAAUUUAAAAUCUUAAACUUUGAUUAUUUGUUUAAAAUUAACCUAUUUUUUGUAAAAAAAAUCAAAUCAAAAAAAGUAUCUAUAAAAAAAUAAAGUUGAGGGAUCUUUUUCAAAGUGGCUUAUAGCCGAGGGGGUUUACGUACAUUUUCCCAUCUGAAAAAUCCCAAAACGUGCGAAAAUAACUUAUUUAAGUAAACAGUGGACCAGCACGGAAUCUCCCGCCAAAUUUAGCAACAAAAUCAACAUCCAAAUCCAUCUCCACCGUCCGAUCGAUCCAAACUCUCCGAUCCCACGGCUCGCACUUCGCCUCCCUCUCACCCCUCACGCCCUUCCCGCCAUUCCCAUCUCUAUGUUCACGGGUAGGUGAUGAGCCCACUUCGCCAUUAAUUAAACGCCCUUCUCCUCCCUCACAAUCCCUGCAUAAGUAGAAACGCGCGUUACCCAUUCGAUGAAAUUCCCCAGAGAGUUCCCUUCAGAAAUUUCCCAUUUAUUUUUCGGUCCCUUUUAAUCGUAUACUAGUUCUGAUCCGAUUUUACUCGACGUUCGCAUCGAGUCAAAUCGCAUUUAUAGUUUGUAAUUAUUUAAGUUUUGUUUUGGCUCAAGCAUAUUUUGCGAACAUAUAUUAACCAAUGGAUUCUUCUUCCUCCAACAACUAUUUUAGACUUGGAUUUCUUUUUGGCGUGUUAAGUUGUUUGUUGUUACGGAAUUGCUUUGCCGGUAAUUUGCCCGCCAAUUUUGUUUUUGGGGAUUCAUUGGUUGAUGUCGGAAACAAUAACUAUAUUGCGACUUUAUCGAAGGCUAAUUACCGACCAAAUGGUAUAGAUUUUCCGAGUCAUCAACCGACCGGCCGUUUCACGAAUGGGCGAACAAUUGUUGACAUACUAGGCAUGUGUUUGUAAUCGGUAAACCGAUUCCGUAUUUUGUCGUCUCCGCAUUCUCUGUUGCAUUGAUCUGAUUUGAUGUAUUUUUCUUCUGAUUCUUUAGGUCAAGAAUUAGGCUUGGGUGGAUUCUCUCCUCCUUACUUGGCGCCGGAUACGGUCGGAGAUGCGGUGUUGAAAGGUGUUAAUUAUGCGUCUGGGGGUGGGGGGAUUCUCAAUCAUACUGGGAAAGUUUUUGUAAGAAUACUCAGUUGAUCAGUUCUAACUUAUGAUUUAUUUCUUUUGCUUCACAUUCAGAUUUUUUUUUUUUUCCUUUAUUGAGUUCAUUCGUGUUGUGUGAGAUAGUCGGAAAUGUGUUAUGAAUGAACUUUAUUUAUAACCUAAUUAUUUUCUUCUGAAGAUCAAUACACAGUUAAUGAGAAGAAUUCUGCAAGCAGAAGCACAACUCCGAAAAAGAAAAAAAAUCCACAUUUUACUAACAACAGUUGGGUUUUGUACGAAUUAAAAUGUGGCGGUGAUCGUCUCAUAUUUUUCGUUUCUAUACUUGUCGCUUUUUCUGAUCCUUAAUAUUUGUUAAUUGCUUGCAAUGUAAAACAGGGAAAGAAAAAGCUAGAUAUUAUUUAAUCUGGAAUUAUUGAGAUUUAGGGUCCACUCAUUCGUCUUCGUUUCUGUUGCUUUCUGACCAAAUAAGUUCUAUGGAUUUCAUACAAAACACGAGACUAAGUUCUAUCAAACUGACAAUUAAACCAGAAUGUCAGCUUCUUCAAUAAAAGGUGAAACAGAAUCGAAGAAAAUAUGGUGCGAACUGAACACUUUUGAUCAUCAAGUUGUCUUCUAGUAAAGAUGAACAUAUUUGUAUUUUCCUAUUCAUCUUAUGACACUUUGGUGAUUUUCAUUCCAAUAUUGCCUUUAUUACUAUAUUCAUCUCUAGAAUGUUUCUAUAGCUAUAGCUCCUUGUUGAUCACUUGAUUUCCAAUGUUUUCUCAGGGCGGGCGCAUCAACUUGGAUGCACAGAUUGAUAACUUUGCGAACAAUCGGCAAGAUAUAAUCUCAAGCCUCGGGAUGUUGAAUGCUAUGAAUCUGUUAAGAAACGCUCUCUACUCAUUCACUAUAGGCUCUAACGACUUCAUCAACAAUUACCUUACUCCUGUAUUAUCUGUUCCCGAAAGAGCAGUAGUUUCCCCAGAAGCCUUUGUCGAGAGCAUGAUAUCAAAAUUUCGACAGCAGUUAACAGUAAUUAAUACCUCAUCACCAUUAUUCAUUUCUUUAUGAAUCAUUACAUCAGAAUAUGACAAUAGCAGCAGUAUUCGCAAGGGGCUUUUACAUGUCUGAUGAAAAUCUUCUAUUCGCAUAUAUAUUGUUUCUAAAUCCGAAUUUCAAUGUAUAAGGAAGAUGCAAUUCCUUACGCAAACAACUUUGUUUGCAUUCAGAAAGUUAUUUAAGAAACUUGCGAGUCAAAUUUUGUGCUGGAAAAUAUCUAUAAUAAACUCUGAUUGUUUUACCUUCAUAUCUUGUAGAGGCUCUAUCUCCUGGAUGCGCGGAAAAUUGUCGUGGCAAAUGUCGGGCCCAUCGGCUGCAUUCCCUUCAUGAGAGACACGAAUCCGUCAGCGGGCAACAACUGCGUAGACCUCCCAAACCAAUUAGUGCAGUACUUCAACAAGCGGUUGAAGGAUCUGAUAAGCGAACUGAGCUCGAACCUCGAGGGAUCCCUUUUUUUGUAUGCCGACGUCUACCGCAUUGUAACGGAUAUCAUCGAGAACUACAGAGAUUAUGGUACCAGAGGAGAAGCUAGUUUGUCCUGUAAUAAGUGUUAGAAUUUGCCUAUCAAGUUAAGUAUUUGUUUCUUUUGCAUUUGCAGGUUUUGAUGCUGCAGAUUCUGCUUGCUGCUUCGUUGGGGGCCGAUUCGGAGGCCUAAUACCGUGUGGCCCGCCAUCGAAAGUUUGCCCCGAUAGGUCCAAGUACGUGUUUUGGGAUCCGUACCAUCCUAGUGAUGCGACUAACAUUCUCAUAGCUCGACGACUUCUCGAUGGUGAUUUAGCUGAUAUUUAUCCGAUAAAUGUGCGGCAGCUACUCAAUGCUUGAGAGUUAAUUCCUGCUCUCAAGAUCAGAUCAUGAGUAAAAUUCUUUAGAAAGCUGAUUACUUCAAUUCACUUAUAUUUCAUACAAGUGUGUCUUUUUGCAAAUGAGAUCUGCAGAAUUCAAUUACUUACAAUUAAGAUGUGUAUAUUUUCCUCCAUUUAUUGGAACCCUAGAUGUUUUUGAUGAUAGAGUAACAACAGUGUCCUAUUGAAAGUACAAUUGUGAGAUGUGCUUGUUACUGUAGAGAGAUCUAUUGCUUGAAAUUGGUACAAGUAAGCAACUAAAUUUUUUUGGAUUAACAUUAAAUAUUAAAUGCAGUGCAUGAAAUGUAUGGAUAAGGCAACAACUUCUUCCAAUUAAUACAUUUAGGUCCUGUUCGGAUACGGAAUAAGUGGUUUAAAGAUAACUUAUUCCAUGUAAAAAAGUUUCUGUUCUGAAUAAAUAAAUUGGAGUAUAAUUUUUAUGCUUUGAAAGGUAUUGAUAUUCAUGAUUUAACUGGAUGGCAUAUUUCAUCUGCAAGAUAAUUUAUAUUAUUUGAAAAAAUAACUUGCAAAUUGAAUAUGAUAUUUAUUUUAGAUACUGAUAAUAAUAAUCCUCAACUAUUAAACACUAAAUUAGUUAUAAAAAUAUACUGAAAAAAAUUUUAUGCAUUUAAAUAGAAUCUUAACCGGAGAUAGAAACCAGAUAGCAGUGGUCCCCAGCUGAUCCACAAAAAGGCGUCACUGUAAUAUAGGACCCAUAGCCGUUUGUUUAUUUUUUUAUACUAUCCGCAUUGUUUAUAUUAUUCACUUUAUUUAUUUUUUAAAAAAUAAAUUUAAUUAAAAAAAUAAAAUAAUCAAAAUUUAAAAUUUAAAAUUUUAAUUAUUAAUUAUUAAAUUCUUUGUUACUCGUGCUUGGGAAAAUAGGUUUAAACUUUAAACUGGUGCAAUUAGCCUCUGUAAAAGAUCCUCGGUCAACGAUGUCAACUUCGUGAUUUAGCCAGAAAAAAAAAAAAGGAAAAAAAAAAGCUACGGUAACGUUAUUAUUAUUUAUACUCGCCCCGACGUAAUGGGCUCUAUCCACAGCUCACCCUCUCAACCAACUCCGACACGCAAACGAGAUCUCUCUCCAUCUCCAUUCCGGGUAUAUAACAAACCCUCCCCACGGCUCCUUCGUCCUCCUCGUCCUCCUCCGCCAUGGAUGAGCUCAUCGUGGUGGAGCGGCGAUCCCAUGGAUCCGCGGUGGCCGUGGUCACCAUCAACCGCCCCGGCGCGCUCAACUCGCUCACGCGCCCCAUGAUGGUCGCCCUCGCAGGCGCGUUCCGCCGCCUCGACGCCGACGACGCCGUGGCCGCGGUGGUCCUCGCCGGGCGCGGCCGCGCCUUCUGCUCCGGCGUCGACCUCACCGCCGCCGAGGACGUCUUCAAGGGCGACGUCAAGGACCCCGCCGCCGACCCCGUCGCCGCCAUGGCCGCGUGCCGGAAGCCCAUCGUCGGCGCCGUCGCCGGAUUCGCCGUCACCGCCGGGUUCGAGAUCGCCCUCGCCUGCGACCUGCUCGUCGCGGGCCGCGACGCCAAGUUCGUCGACACCCACGCCAAGUGAGUUAGUGAACUAAUCGAAAGCGACGCGACUCGCUCGCUUCGAUCUCAAUCACCAUUUUUUCCCCCCCUGAUGUUCUCGAUGCUUGGACUUGUUUUUGGAUUAGAGUAAUUCAGGGGAUCUGAAAAUUUUGAAGAUUAAAGUUCGUGAUUUUAAAUCAUUGAUCGUUAAGUUUUCUUAGGGUUUUAUUGAAAAUUGCAAGUGAAAACUCGAUACAGAAUUGAAUUAAUUCGUUAUUGUGGCUAAAUUUGCCCUGUUUGCUCUUCUACUUCAUUAAUUUGUAUGAUUUAACGCUUAUUAAGAUGUCUUCUAUGAUGGGGAAAUAAUAGUUCGGGAUCUCUCCCUUUCUUUUUAAUAUUUUUCCAUCUUUUAGUAUGUAUGGAAGUGUAAUUGUAGCAAAGUUUUGUUAAGAAUUAGAGGGUGGAAAUGGGGUUGGAUUGUGCUUUUCCCCUAUUAUUACUGAAAAUGGAUUGCAUUACACUUUGCGAGAUUGAAUUGGACUACUUGGUGAAUUGAGGAGAUUUAUUGGUGAGUUGGCUUAGAGAUCAUGUAUGUGUGGAGCAUUGCUGUUCAAUACUCGACUCUGGACUGUUUAGAGGCAGAUGCGGUAUUUAAGAAAGACUGGAAAAUUUGACGAUGUUGGCAAGUCUAGUUUUUGAAUUGUUCAAUUUAGAAUGCUAAGUAAGAGAAGAUUACAAAUAUAAACAGACAAAACUGAUGAUUGAUGGACCAACUUCUUGCCAAAUUGUAGAUUUUAAUGUUUGAUAUUGUAAGAAAGAGAGGGGGGGUUUACAUGCUUUUGUCAAAUUCGUCAAAUGAUUGGCGGCCAAUCUACAUCUACAAUCAGCGUGCCUGCGUAGUAAUAAUCGACAUAAAUUUUUAUUCAUGAUAAAUGUGAAUGCUGUCGAAUUUUUGGUUUGUUAGCAUUUGUUUUCUUUGUUGUAAACUGAAUUUCUUGACCAAUUGGCAACAUUGUUGUUCAGGUUCGGCAUCUUUCCUUCUUGGGGCCUCUCACAAAAGCUCUCGCGGAUAAUUGGACCAAACAGGGCUCGAGAAGUGUCACUCACUGGUAUGCCUAUAACUGCAGAGAUGGCUGAAAAAUGGGGGCUGGUUAAUCAUGUUGUGGACAGUAGUGAAGUUUUAAAUAAAGCCAUAGAGAUCGCAGAGGCCAUUACGAGGAACAACCGAGACAUGGUACUGAGAUACAAGUCGGUUAUAAACGAUGGCUUCAAGCUGGACUUGGCUCAUGCUCUUGAUCUAGAAAAGGUGGCGUUUUUAUGCUAUCGCUGUAAAUGGAACUUAUUAUAUUUAACUGAGAGCUCAGGUAGUUUCUUCUUUUUUUCUGAAAAAUUCUUGUGGUUUCAGGAAAGAGCUCAUAGCUAUUAUGAUGGGAUGACCAAGGAGCAAUUUGGGAAAAUGCAAGAAUUUAUACGAAGUCGACGCUCAAAACCAGCGUCCAAGUUGUAGACAGUUGAAGAUCUAAUGAAGCCAAAAAGCUUCCCAUGCGAAAAUGUUCGAUAUCAUUGGUGUAUCGCAAUAAACCCAAAGGAAAGAGAAUGUUUAAUGUGGUGAUGUAUCACAUUCCAAUAAGGUUUUAGAAAGAUAAGAGUGAGAAAUAAGAACAAAGAUAUAUUUCCGUUACACGCGGUAUAUCUGUUGUUGUCUUGUUUAUCUUCUUACACUGUAUGCCUUGGGCUCCUCUCUUAUGAUUAUGAAUUCUACAUCUUUAAGGUUAAAAGCGGCCAAAAAAUACCCAAAAACUUUUUUUUACCUGAUUGCGAAGCAGCACAUUGACUAUGAAUUAUGAAAUGUUGUUACGAAUGCUGGAUAUUAUGAUGUGCACUGAAUGUUAGCUUCUUUUGAUUAUUAGUGGUCCUUGUGGUUUAUCGGAUAUUGGCAUGCAACUUGUUCCAUGGCACAUUCUCAGGAUCUUUUUAUAACUAAUUUCCCUGCUGGAGCACGCGAUUCCUAUUUAAGGCGGUAAUGGUUCAUGGUUUCAUCUUACCUAUUUUGUGAUUCUCGUGUUUGUGAAUUGGUAGAUGGUUUGGUAUGAUGUCAAAGUAUCAAUAAUCACGUAUCCUUAAAAAAAUAAAAGAUUGGUAUUGGAGGGUUGUGUGUGUAUUCAAAUAUUGCAUUAUGUGUAUCCUUAACGCCUAUAAUUCUCACCCUUUUUCUUUUCCCCUGCACUGUAUCUAGCUUAUGUGAUAGUGGUUCUAAAUUGCUUCAUAGUGUUUUAGAAGCAUAUAUCAGGAAGAUCUUUACUGCAUAUUUAAUUUCAUUUUGUAAAGAUAUGAGACUCCGCUAAUUAACCGUUCUGGCUCAAAAGCUGCUUCUGUCGAACAGCUUUUCUUUGCAGCAGAAUUUUAAUUGAAAACUUAGCAUCUGAGAUUUGAGUUCUCAUUUUUUCACCUUCAGAGAGUAGUUGAAAGCAGAUAGAACGUCUAUCCUCAUCGUCGUUCAUGAACGGUGAAAGAGGGCUUUGGGAGGAGCGCUGCAGCAAGGUUGAUGUUCAUAAUCAGAUAAGGGGGCGUUUGGAUGUCAAGUGUAGUGGUGUUUGAGUUUUCCUGAAGUGUGAUUAUUUUUUUGUUGUUUGUUUUGACGUAACUCGUACCGCCUGAAAGUUAAAUUUAAUCACUUCUGUUGUUUGUUUUGAUGUAAGUAAGUGGAUUUUAUUAUCUUCUAAAUAUAGUAGUAAAUUUACCACUAUAAAAUUUAAUCUANUUAUCUUCUAAAUAUAGUAGUAAAUUUACCACUAUAAAAUUUAAUCUAUUAUAUAAUUAAUUUUUUUAUUAUUAUUUAAAGAUAAUCCUAAUUUAUUAUAAAUAAGGUAAUUCUAACUCAUUAUAAAGGAAGUAGAGUUUAGGUUUUACUGUUUAAUAAUUUUUUUAGAGAAGGUUGAGUAUAGUGAAAGUCGAGUUCGGCAUUUUAGAGGAGGAAGUCGAGAGUAAGUGAAGUGGAGUUUUAACGUAACUUGAGUUACAUUAUAUUUUUCACUUACAUCAAAAUAAAUAACAGAAGUGGUGAAACUUGAGUUCCAUCACUCCACUUACACCAAAACAAACGGGUCCUAAGUGAACUCAUCAGGCUUUUGACUAUGUUGUGGCUAGAAAGAAAUAGUAUUAUCUUUAUAGGAGACUUAAACCUAACUGUGGUUCUUCGGAGUAUACAUUCAUUACCAUAGAUUUGGUUAGAACAAUUCCGAUAAACGUACACCUCUAAAUUAAUCCUCCCCCACCUCUCCUCUCUCUCUUCCCCCUUUUUCCUCUGCUCCUUUUUAUUUGCUUUUUUUUUUUUUUUGCCUCUCUUUUGUUGUCAAGUUCAUAUAACUUUAUUCGGAUAAUUUUUACAUUUUUUUAAAAAAAUAUUGGAUGAAAGACUAUUUUUUUUUAUCAAAAGAGUAAGAAAUUAAAAUUUAAUAGCUAGAUGAAGACCAUAUAAUAUAAUCUGUGUAAAAUUUGUCUGAUGUAUUUUGAUGCGGUUGCUCUUCAUGCGCAAUAAAUAAGCGGCUUAAGCGGUGAAAUGAUAAGAACAGAGAAGCUCUACAGGUGUCAUGCGCAAGCAUGAAACCCCAAGAAUUUCCUCUCUCUCUCUCUCUCUCUCUCUCUCUCUCUCUCUAAAGAAGUACAUGAUUCAAGUACUGGUAGGUAUAUAUACUUCGCACCAAGUUUCUUAUGUGAACCAAGGAAGGUGCCCCAAGUAGUGCAUAGUCCUGCAAAAAAAAAAAAGGUAUGAUUAUUCUAUAUAUUAUUUUUUAAGACAAGUAAGUUCAUGAGAAAUAAGUUCUAUAUAUAUUUGAGCAUGAGCACUAGGGUAAUGCCAUGAGUUUGUUGAAACUUACACUAGCAGGUAUUGUGAGCAGAGCAUUUCUUGUGGCCUCUUCCAAUUUCUGGAGUUAAAAGAAAAAAAAUUGUGCCCUUUCCUGCUUAAAAUGUGAGUCUGAAUCUAUGUAUCUUCGAACAAAUUUGUGUGUUUCGUAUUUUAAGAAUUAAGACACAGUACAAGUUCUUGUAUUCGAUAACAAGCCCAAAAUGUCACUAAUAUUCUUGAGGAAAUAGUGGUUUUUUUUUUUUUUUUUUUUUUUUGUGUGUGUGUGUGUGUGUGUGUGUGUGUGUGUGUGUGUGUGUGUGUGUGGCCUUUUAUACUAUGCAGAGCAUCUAAAUGAUAUUUCUUUCCUAGGGGGAAAAAAAAAUUAAGUAAUUCAAUAGCUCACAUCAAUGUUAGGCCUCUUGUGUGAAAAUGCACAAAUGAGCAAAUACUAUGAGAAUUUCAAUUGUGAGUAAUAAUCUAACAUCUCUUACUUCCAUGUGUUCUCUUCUCUGCAUGAUUCUACCAACCGAAGCAACCAAUUAGAACUUCUCGCCUACGAGGAGCAUGAGAAAUCUCUUCUCCCUGUCCAAUGGAAAGCUCAGUGUUAAUCGACUCGAGUUACUCUACGACAUUCCCGACAAUGUCUCCUUCAAUAGCUUUUCUUCACUGUGCCAAUCCUCGGAAGCACCAUCUUCGCUGUAUAAUUAAUAGAGUUAAGUCCCAAUCUCACAAGGGAGGAUUCCUCGGUUUUACGCAAAAGGCGCCAUCAGAUAUUCUGAUGAAUUCAUUGGGAAAAUUCAGCGGCAAGAGGUUUCUCAGCAUUUUCCGGUUCAAGUCAUGGUGGUCGACAAUGUGGGUCGGAAACUCAAGCACGGAUUUACAAAUGGAGACUCAAUGGGCUCUUAUUGAAGUGCCGAAAUCAUGUUCAUAUGUGCUUCUACUACCCAUAAUUGAGGGUAAAUUUAGGUCUUCGAUCCACCCCGGAGGUGACGGCGAAGCUGUGGUAUGCGCUGAGAGUGGCUCUACUGCAGUGAAAGCUUCGUCGUUUGCUGCACUAGUGUAUGUUCAUGUGAGCGACAAUCCCUACAACCUUAUGAAGGAAGCUUAUACUGCUGUUAGAGUUUAUCUCAAUACAUUUUGACUGUUGGAAGAGAAGUCGUUGCCGAGUUUGAUUGAUAUGUUCGGUUGGUGCACUUGGGAUGCGCUUCAUUUCACUGUCGACCCGGUCGGUGUCUGGCACGGCGUGAAGGAUUUUUAUGAGGGAGGAGUUCAAUUGAGAUUUCUUAUAAUAGGCGAUGGGUGGCAGAGUACUAAGUUUGAUGAUGAGAGCGCGAUUAAGGACGGGAAGAACGAGGUAUCGGCGUGAGCUGAGGGUGUUGCUACGAGGCUUAGUAUGUUCGAGGAGAAUGACAAGUUCAAGAAGUACAAAGGAGGGAGUCUUUUAAGCCCCGAUGCUCCUCCAUACGAUGUGAAGAGCACGAAUAAGUUUUUUUUUUUUUUUUUUUUUUUUUUUUUUNUAUAUAUAUAUAUAUAUAUAUAUAUAGUUGAGCUAGAAUACUAUCGAUAGUAAACGAGCCGUUUUACUACCUAUUUGUUUUCGAUGAUAGAGCUUCCAAAUUGACGAUCGGCUCCAUUGAACAUGAUCUAUACCACUUGAAGUGUUUAGAUCACAUCACGUGUGGUCUCGACCUCGACAACAUUGAGAUACUGCUUAUGCUACUGUUUGGAUGGCAUAAAAAAACCUUGACAAUAGCUGUGUCUGGGACUAUCAAUGAGCCGAACAUGAACAAGUUGAUCCCAAUUUGUAUUCGCCUCGCUAAAAUUUUGAGCUGAAAAAUUUAACUCGUGUUCGACUUAUUUAAUAGAUGAGCAAUCGAUCUUGACCUCAUUUCGAGCAUAACACAAGCUGGUACGCAUGCAAGGAGGUGGAUUGUUAGCCCUACUUACUAUUGUGAUCUUAGUUGUUUUAGUCUCGUUUUUCUUAGCGGAGUAGUUUUCUUUCACCUUUUGUGUGAACCUAAGCACACAAAGUGAAUGCUCUUAGGUUUUGAACAAUAUAAGCACAACGCUUUAUAGCUAUGCUCAUAAUAGAAUAUUUAUUAAUAUCUGCUUUUGUUGGUAAAUAGAAACACAUUAUGAAUUGUUUUUUUUUUUUUUUUGAGAAAAGGUAGCACGCUACCUGCUUCAUUCAUUAAAGAAAUGAAUUAGGCUACAGGGGUGAGGCAUCCAGGGCCUCGAAAGAGGGGCGAAAAAAAAAAAAAUAAAAAAUAAAAAUAAAAAAUAAAAAAUAAAAAAAUCACGCGGUGGCAGGGCUUCUAGAAAUAGGUGCACAAAUCUCCCAGGAAUUCAUCAGCUCCUUCAACCUAUACACCCCCACGAGGGGGUCCAGUUGGAUGUUUCGAAAAAUCAGAUCGUUUCUAGCCUUCCACAUAAUCCACCAGCACGCAGCCAAUACAGAGAGUCUAUGCCUCGUAUUCUGUGAUCCUUUCUUAACCGACCACCUAUCCCAGAUAUGAAGAACAUCGUCUCCCAGCUCUGUCGCUUGAAUACCCUCUACUCCCAUCACCAUGAUAAACUUAGUGAAGACACAUUGGGCGAGCAGAUGGUUCACAGACUCGUCGUGUGAUCUGCACAGUACGCAUGCCGCGUCACCAGUCCAACCUCUCUUCGCGAGGUUAUCAGCUGUUAAAAGCCUCUUCUUGAGGACUAGCCAACAGAACACUUUAACCUUAAGAGGUAUACGUAGAUUCCAAAUUCUGUUAGCAUGUCCGUCCCUCAAACCCCGGUCACUCAACAUAGUAUAAGCCGAUUUGACCGAGAAUACUCCAUUGUUUGCCCAUCGCCAACGUAUAGUGUCCGGGCCUUGCGUUACAUUGAAUACAGUAACCCUAUCCUUGAGAGCCGCGAGGUUUGCACUUAACCCGGUCCUUAUAAUCAGCUCAUCACUCAACAUCCUAGUCCAGUUCCAGCCCUGACGGUCAAAACAAUCCUUGACCAUUACUAAUUUACGUUCCGUCAGUGCGUAGAUCUCCGGGAAAGACAAAUAUAAGCUGGUUUCCCCACACCAUCUAUCCGUCCAAAAAUCGAUAGAAGUCCCGUUACCCAGUAAGUGGGAAAUUCCCCAUUGGAACAAGGCACCGGUGUUAACCACUCCCUUCCACCAGAAUGAGUAGGGGCUGAAACUUUUUCCUUCCUUCAAAGGUCUUCUUCUUCGGUAAUACAGGGCUCGGAUUAUCUUGUUCCACUGUAACUGUGGCACGGUAUGGAAUCUCCACCAUCAUUUGAGCAGGAGUGCACAGUUCAUAAUAUCUAAAUCCAAAAUGCCCAGCCCCCCUUGUGUUUUACUCAAACAGACACUCUUCCAAGCCACCAAACAUCCCUUGCCUAGAGAGUUACUUUCACCGUUCCAGAAAAAGUCUCUGCGUAAGGCUUCGAUACGCUUGAUCACCCACUUCGGUGCCUUGUACACAGAUAGGAAGUAAAGGGGUAGAUUGGUAAGGACAGCAUUGACCAGGAUGAGUCUACCCCCUCUUGAGAGAAGUUUGGCUUGCCAUCCCUGAAUUCUGCGUUGAAUUUUCUGAAUGAUCUCUCUCCAUACCUCCUUUGUGGGGGGUCUAGGGGAAAGAGGAAAUCCAAGAUAAGUGGUUGGCAGGGUACCAACUUUGCAUUCCAGAAGGUUUGCUAGUUUUGCCGCCCUGCCCUCAACCUGCCCCAAGUAGUAGAGUUCGGACUUAUCUCUAUUGAUUUUCAUUCCCGAGGCCCACUCGAAGAGGCUCCACAUCAGUCUAAGGUUUCUCAUAUAUUUUUUCCUCGCCUCACAGAAGAGAAAAGUAUCGUCCGCAAACUGUAUGAGAGUAGUCAUACUUUCGUUGGAUGGGCCAAUCCCUUUAAGAAGAUUGUUACCAGUGGCCACAUUCGUCAUUUUGAGAGCACGAAUAAGUUGAAGGCCAAAGCUUUAGAGCUCGAGCAAGCUCAGACAGCACGAGAAAAGUCAGUCCAAUCGGGGUUGUAGAUCUGUCAUUCUUUGAUACUGUGAUAGAAGGAUUGAAAAAGGAGCUAAGUGGUGUUGAGGGAGUGGAUGAUUCAAGUUUAGAUAAUGAGAUCAUUCAUACUAAUAGCUAUAGUUCGGAAUAUCGGGGAUUGAAAGCUUUCGUGAAGGACCUGAGAACAAGAUUUAGAGGUUUGGAUGACGUUUAUAUGUGGCAAGCUCUUUGCGGAGCUUGGGGUGGAGUGAGCCCUAGUGCUACCAGUUUUGAUUUCGAUUCUAAGAUAGUUUCCGCAAUAGUCGCUCCUUGUCUCGCAGGGACUAUGUUCGAUGGUGCUUUGGUUAAAUGUUUAAGAUACGGGGUCGGUUUGGUUCAUCCGGAUCAGAUAGCCAGGUUCUACAACUCAAUGCAUUCAUAUCUUGCUAGUGCAGGCAUUACAGGGGUAAAAGUGGAUGUCAUACAUGUAAGUACCGAUCUAAAUCGUCAUCUUGAGUGUAAUUUUUCGGUCUCAGUUGUCAUUAUUAGCCUUUUUUUUUGUGAGUAAGUUGGCUGACAAACAUGUUCAAGUACUGCAGAUGAUUGAACUUGCUGGUGAAGAGUAUGGAGGUCGCGUCGAGCUCGCAAAGGCUUAUUACAAAGGACUUUCGGAGUCCCUUCGAAAGAACUUUAAUGGAACUGGACUGAUAUGUAGCAUGCAGCAUUGUAACGACUUCUUCUUCCUCGGUACUUGGCAGAUAUCAUUAGGAAGAGUAGGUAAUAUAUUUUGAACUAUCGAUCCAUCUUGAGCGGCUAUUCAUACUAGCCUUUGGUAUAACUUUUCUACUUAAGGAAGUACUCGCCUCGUGUUUUCUGGCAAACAAAGAGUGCGGAGCUUUAUCUGUAGCAAGAUACUAAAAUGAGCUUACGAGGCCUAAAAACAAAGGCUCCAAUUGCAGAAUUUGUAACCGAAAACUUGUUUAUAUUUCUUUGAACAACUCUACGUAAAGAAUGGUUAUGCAGAAGCUCAGUUGGACUGAAUGGGUUCUAAAAUUUUUGCUCAUGCAAAAUUUUGAGCAAUUUCUGCUUAAUUCGUCGUCAGGUAACGAAUCAUUUUUCCCAUCAGGUGAUGAUUUCUGGUUUAGGGAUCCAAAUGGGGACCCAACGGGGAUCUAUUGGCUGCAGGGGGUGCACUUGAUCCACUGCGCAUACAACAGCAUGUGGAUGGGUCAGACCAUACAGCCCGAUUGGGACAUGUUCAAGUCCGAUCACCCGUGCGCGAAAUUCCACGCAGGUUCGAGGGCCAUCUCCGGCGGACCGGUCUACAUGAGCGACUCCGUCGGGAGCCACGACUUCGAUCUAAUAAAGAAGCUUGUGUUCCCUGACGGAACCAUCCCCAGGUGCCAGCAUUUUGCUCUCCCUACAAGGGACUGCCUCUUUAAGAACCCCCUCUCAGAUGGAAAGAGCAUUCUCAAGAUUUGGAACAUAAACAAGGUACACAGGUUAAUUUAUUGAUACUUUUUUCAUGCAAUUACAAGCUUAUGGAGUACGAACUUCUCGGUUCUCGAUUUAUCGAACUCUUCUGUUGUAUGUGGUAUGUAUUCUCUCAACUGUGAUGUGUCCUCACAGCCUUUGUUCCAAUAUACUUGGUUUCUUGGUUCCAAGUCCCUGAUUCAGAAUACAUGCAGAAAUUUUUUCUGAUCUUCAUCAACUCCUCUGACGUAACACCGCAUGCGCAGUUUGGAGCAGUCGUCGGGGCCUUCAAUUGCCAGGGAGCAGGCUGGGAUCCGGAAGAGAACAGAAUAAGAGGCUACCCAGAUUGUUACAAGCCGGUCUCCGCCCGUGUCCAUGUCUCGGACAUCAAGUGGAGCCAGAAGAAAGAAACAAAGAACAUUGGCUACGCCGACGACUACGCAGUCUAUCUAAACCAAGCAGAACUACUGCAACUAAUGACUCCAAAUUCAGAUCCUAUUGAAGUCACACUCCACCCUUCCUCUUUCGAGAUCUUCACCUUCGUGCCGAUAACAAGUCUCGCGUUCGGCGUUAAAUUUGCGCCUGUUGGAAUGGUGAACAUGUUAAACUGUGGAGGAACUGUAGUUGAAGUUGAGAAUGGAGAUGUGGAUGAAGAACCAAGGGUUGUUAAGUUUAAGGUGAAAGGUGCAGGGGAGUUAUUGGCUUACUCGAGCGAAAAGCCGAAGAGAGUUUGUGUGAAUGGGGUUGAUGAGGAAUUUGAGUGGGUGAGAAAUGGAGAGCUGAGGAUGGACCUUUCAUGGGAGGGAGGAGAGUGUGGUGUCUCUGAUGUUGCUGUUGCUUAUUGAUGAAGCUCAAGAGCAUAUUUGUAAGCUCUUUGUGUGUUGUCAUUAUAUGCUUGGAGAUUUUGUAUUUUGUGUUCUAUGGACUAUUGGGAACUAAAUACAAAGCGUUGUACGUACAACUACUAUAUUAUCAAUAACACAAAUCGCUUCGUUUCAUCAAAAUUUUUAUCAUUAAAUUUACUCUCUUUUUUUUUGAUUAUUUUCACCGAUUAAAUAAUAUAUUUAUAGAAAAUAUCAAAUUUUGUGUGAGAUAUACCAUAAUACCAAUAAACAAAUUUUGUAAAAGGCGACUUCAAAGAUAAAAAGUGGGAAAUCAAAAUAAAACUCUAUUAAAAAUAAAAAUAAAAAUCCAUGUUACAAUUCACCAAAAUAAGACCUCUUACCAAUCAAAAACCUCUUUUUUCUCCCUUUUUUUUUCGGAUUGGGUCCUCAGAUUUAUGCUUAUAGUUCUCAUCAAGAUGAGUAUCAGGUCUCAAAGAUUUCAUGCCAUCAUAGGACCUCCCCUUUCCCUAAAAUAAAAUUGAAAAAAAAAAAAAACACAGACACACACACACAAAGAUAAGCAAUUUAACCAAGAAAAUUCUAAUAAUAAUAAAAGAAAAUUCGAAAAAAUUUCGGAGAGGUUAUUCGCUGCACCUCACGAGAGUAAAAGAGAGGCGAAGCGACUCAUAAUCUCCUGAAUUAUUUAAUUUCGCCCCCUGGAAAAAUCGAACCCUAAAAGGGAGAAGAGAAAGGGCUCAACUCAUCAAAGGGCUCGUUCGCUGAAAAAACGAAAGAAAUCGAAUUUAAUUCCACAGGAAAAUUUAAAAAACAAAGAUUAAUGAUGCAUCGCAUACUUGCCCUAAUUCUCUCGAACGGCGAUAAACGCCACUUCAAACCCCGAAGCGUCGUCGAUGGGUUUAUAUAGGGGAAUUUUUAGGGUUUAGAAAAAGAUAAAAAUUAAUUAUUUUUUUUAUUUUUUAUGUUUUUUUUUUUUUUUGGCUUUGGUUGUAAAGCCUAUUUUUUUUAAUCUGUUUCAUAUGAUGCCAUUGCCAGACCAGAGCUUGCUCUAAGUUAAUUUAACUUCUCUUACAUGCAAAUAAUUCAACAUUAAAAUAAAAACUCAUAUCUUGGGAUGCUCCACACAGGACUUUCCUUUCACGUAUCUUGGGCUACCACUUACUCCUAAACCUUUGUCAAAGUCAUAGUAUUUGCCGCUAAUUGAGAAGAUCGAUAAGAGGCUGGCAGGUUGGAAAGAAAAGUCUCUUUCCAGUGGAGGGCGGCUCGUCCUUCUCAACUCGGUCCAUUUUACCAUUCCCACUUACUUCUCCCCGGUUAUCCAGCUGCCGAUCUAGGUGCAAAAAGCCAUUGACAAAACCCGUAGAGGUUUCUUUUGGAGAGGCAAGAAAUUACAUAACGCAUUCCAUUGUCUUAUAAAGUGGGAAAAUGUGUGUCGCCCCAAACUUUUCGGCGGUAUUGUUGUUAGAAAUCUGAAGUGCAUGAACUCCGCCCUCUUAAUGAGGGCUCUUUGUAGGUUCCACAAUGCGUCGUCAUUACCAUGGGUCCAGCUUCUAAGGCAAAAACACUACAAACGUAAUCCGCUCUCACCUAGCAGCAGCCAGCAGGAUCCUCGCUGGAUGCUCCCCUAUUUGGAAGGCCCUUAUCAAUUUGGCACCACCCUUCUUUAUUUUUACAACUUUCCUACAGGCUAACGGGAAUUUUACCUCUUUCUGGCAUUCUCGUUGGUGCGAGGAAACCACCCUACAUGCCGACUUCCCUCACUUGUAUGCUGCGGCACGCCUGAAACAAGCGUCGGUCAAGGAAUGGAUUUCAAGGUAUGCCCAGCGGCUUAAUCGGGGCUUCACGUCUCCGCUGAAUGAGGAUGGUCCAAUUGAACUACAAUGCUUCUCUAAUCUUGUCGCUAAUACAUCCCUAUCAAGCGAGGAGGAUUCGAUUGUUUGGAGAUGGAGAAGAGAUGGGAAAUUCAUAGUCCACAGUGCUUACAACUUUCUCAUUUUUGGGGGAGUCAUAGAUCGUUCGAUCUCUUAUCUUUGGAAACUAAAAGUACCCCUCAGGAUCAAGUUUUUUCUUUGGCUGGCCUUAAGGAAUAGGGUUCUAACAGCGGAGAUUUUGUCCAAACGUGGCUGGCAGGGACCGUCGAUUUGUGCUCUAUGUUGCAAGAAUGAAGAAAAGCUGGAACACUUACUGUUUGAAUGCACGUUCGCAAUGAACCUGUGGACCAAUCUACUACAUGGCAUGCCAAACACUAUGCACACUCUGUUAAAUCAACUUGGAGAUCUUUCGGCCAGAUGGAAUCGAGCCAGGAAAUCACAAUCGGGACAAGCUAAAAUUAUCUUCGAUCUCUGCUUCGCUGCGACUUGUCGAGAAAUUUGGAAAGAAAGAAACUCUAGAAUCUUUGACAACCGAGAAGUGGGAUGUUGGGAAGUGGGUAACAAAGUCUUUUCCUCUGUUAUUCUCUGGAACUCAACUCGGUGUAGAUAGUGAGCAACGAGGAGGAAUUCUACACUGUCACACUUGCACCACGUCAUCAAUAACAAGCCAAUCACAUUUCUUCUUUUCAAACAAAAGUAUAAUAAAAAUACUUUUUUACAAUCAUGAUGGAACAUAUAUUCUUAAAAGGAUUAAUUUGAUUGCUUUGUUACGCCACGUCACUAGUAUACCCGUUGCAUUCUAGAAUUUUUCAGCAACGAGGGUGUGCCCACUCUUUCAUGCUCUACUAUCUAUGAUUAAUGUACUUUCUCAAAUAGCCCCCCGCCCCCCUGUUUAAUCAAAAAAAUAAAAAAUAAAAAAUAAAAACUCAAUUACACCACUAAUAAGUUUUUGUUUAGUUCAUGAAAUAAAAAUAACAAAUGAAAUUAGAUUAUUUUGAAAUGGGAAAUGACAUUAUGAAUCAUCCAAAUAUUUGGCUCGUUAUUAGAAUGAAAAUCGGAAUGAAAAUUUUGGAAUUUUAAAAGAGAGUUUUAAUUGAGAGAGAGAAAAGUGAUUAAAAAAGAGGAGGUAAGUAUUGGUGAAAGAGGAUUUUUAAUAAUUUACUUUAGAAUAGAUCUAUCCAAAAUUCAAAACCGAAUUCGACCAUAAAUAAAUUUGGUCAUUUUCAUUCCGGAGAGGAAUGAGAACCGGAAUCUAAUUUCUAUAAAGCAAGGCAACUAUCGGAAUUAAUAAAUUCCAUUUCAAUUCUAUAGUCUGAAAUAAGUAAACAAAAUAUGCCCUAAAUAAAAAAAAAAAAUCGAAUCUCAUAGUAGUUUUUGGACUACCAAACCUGUAAAAUCUUUUAAAUAUAAAAAUAAGCAUCCAAAAUUUUAUUUAUAAAAAUAGACGGAUAAAAACGGUGAAUUAUUCACCGUUUUUAUCCUAAUUUAUAUGUUUUCUAUAUCCAAACUUCAAAAUAUGUAUAGUAUUAAAUACUAAAAAUAAUUUUAAUCAUGCAACUUCGAUCAAUAAUAUUAGCUGAAUUCAAAUAUUCCAGAUCAAACACGAUAUUUGUACUUAUACAUAUAGUUGUAAGUAAAGGGCCAUUUGGUUCAAGAUUGAUAACAUUCAUGAAAUAUUUUUUUUUGAGAGAAAGGUAGCAUGCUACCGCUUCAUUCAGUAAGAAGAUGAAUUUAGCAACAAAGUAAAGCAUCGUGGCUUCGCAAACGAGAAAAAAUAAUAAUAAUAAUAAUAAUAAAGUAAUAAAAAAAAACCACUAAACACAAUAAUGAUCCCACAUAUUCUUAAGUGUGUGUACGUCCACCAACAGCUGUCUCAACGAAAGUUUUUUGCGGUCGAAAAUUCUUCUAUUUCGCUCUAACCAUAAAGCCCACCAGGAAAAGGAGAUGAUAGUUAGCUCCUUCUUUCCUACUAUGCCCCACUUAUCGCUACUAUCCAUCCAAAGCUCUCUGGCUGAGCUAAAGACGCUUAAGGCCUUUUUAUUCGGCAGUAAACAAGCCAACAAAUCGCUUGAAAAACGACAUCUCAGAAAGAGAUGGUCGACCGUCUCAAGUUCGUCGAAACAGAGCACGCAAUUCGCCUCUCCCAACCAUCCUCUUUUCAAAAGUUUGUCCCUCGUAAGUACCUUUUGCUUUAACACAAGCCAUCCUAAAAUUUUGACUUCAGGGGGAUUUUGAUUUUCCACAGCCGAGCGAAGCUUCUAUUCUUAAUUCCACCAUCUUGCAAGAAGUAAUAGAGAGAUUUAACCAUGAAAUUUCCGGAUUGACUCCAUCUCCAAGAUGCUUCAUCUCCGUUGACCGUUAAGGUAAAACUGGAGAGUACCGCCUUCAGCUCUACAAUAGAUUCUCGAUCAGGUUGAGAUCCAGGGAAAAAUCCCUUAAGGAUCUUAUGCCACUUCCAACCGUUUCUACCGUAGCAAUCAUUCACCCGACAGUUUUUCCAAUCUACCUUACUGAAAAUUCAUGGGAAAAGAGAUCUGAGAGAGCACUGUCCACUCCAUCUGUCCAUCCAAAAACUCACCAUGUUUCCAUCCCCGAUUGUAUAGUGAACUCCACACUUAAAGAUGUCUCUUGUCGAUAAAACACUUUGCCACCAGUGGGAGUAAGGUCUAAAGGUUACCUCUUCCCACAGGGGUUUCCUUCUAGAAUAGUAUACCCCUCUGACGAAAGCGUUCCAUUGCUUAUCCUUAUCCACUAGGAACUUCCACCACCACUUUGCUAGCAAGGCCUUGUUCAUAGCCUUCAAGUCUUUAACCCCAAGGCCCCCUUCUUCUUUACAUCUACAUACCAUUCUCCAGCGUACCAGACAAUGUCCCCCAGCUACAACACUUCUUCCUUUCCAGAAAAAGGCCCUCCUGAGGGCUUCUAAUCGUUUAAUGACCUAUCUAGGCGCUUUGAACACCGAGAAGAAAUAAAGAGGUAAGUUAGAUAAAACAAAGUUGAUAAGUACAAGCCUUCCUCCGAUCGAGGGGAGGUUUGCUUGCCACCCUUCAAUUCGUCUCUCGACUUUCCCUAUAAUAGGCCACCAUUCUGCUUUAUUUCUUCUAGUCGCGAGUGGAAGACCAAGAUAACGUGCCGGGAAUGAUCCUAAUUUACAUCCCAGAAUAACAGCUAGCCUUUCUCCCCAAUGUUGUAUAUUUAUAUUAAGAAUAGCAAGUAUAUUAUUAACUUAUUAAUUUACUUAAAGAAGAGGAUAUUGAGAACUAGUAUAUUAUUACUACUGGACUAUUGAUGAUUUUUAUAAUCAGAACACCUCGUGCUUCAUAAUAAUCUAAUAUUUGUAACAUCAAGUAAUUUACAAUAGUUUUACUGUCUCGCUAACGUCAGUCGGAUUGUUGAUGCUAAUCAUUAAUACUGAAAGUUUGGGCUAUUAGAAAAAUACCUAACUAAUUCACUUAAAACAUACUUGGUCGGUAGGUCCAAUUUGGCAUCUUGCCACAGGACAAUAUGUUGAUUUCUAUCGAACAUGUGACCUCUGAUUCUGAUAUCACUUGUCAGAUCGUUGACACUAACAAUUAAUACCAAAAACUCGACUUUUUAGAAAUACGCAACCAAUUCACUUAGGGGCUGUUUGGUUUCACGUAUUUGCAACUGCAGUGCAGUUGCAAAUGCGUGCAACCUCAAUUUCUUUGUUUGGUUUAGUGUAGUUGAGUUCAACUACUGCAGUUCCAACUACACAAGAAGGUCCAAAUGCUGCAGUUGGAACUACAUCCAAAUUGGCCGUAGUUCCAACUGCAGCAGUUGGUGAGGGAUAGGAUCACCCACAAAUUAACAAUAAUAAAUAAAUAAAUAAAUAGCUAAAUAAAUAAAUAAUAUAUGUAUAUAGGUAAAUAAAAAUACUUGUAAAUAAACUCAUACUAAUAAAAUUUUUUAGACAAUACAAGCUUUGUGCAAAAAAUUAAAUUUUUUAAAUUUAUUUUAUUUAAAAUAUAAAUAUAGUUUUUUUAAAAAAAUUUUAUAGAAUGUGAUCGUGUAUGUUAAUUUAAUAAGUUUUAAUUAAUUAUAAUUAUUAAAUUUGAUAAAAAAAAUGAGAGAAUCGUUUAAAUUUUAAAGUUUGAUUUACAUAUUAAAAUUAAAUAAAUUAAAAAUUUUAAAUGUGUCGAUUAAUAAGUUGAAGAAUAUUAUAUAUAUCUACUUAUUUAUUUAUAAAUAGUAAAUUUAAAUGAUUAAUAAACUUAUACAAUUAUUUUAUGUUUAGUGAAGGUAAUCUCACCACUCUAUCUGAAAAGGUGACAAAAUUCACAAAUACAACUAUCAGCUUCAUAUUACCAAACAGAAGAAAUGUAACUGCAGCAGUUGCAACUGCGUAAAACCAAACAGACUAGGUGUAGUUACAACUGCAGCAUUUGCAACUGCAUGUAUUUCCAACUACACUGUUUCUGCAACUACAUCCAACCAAACAGCCCCUUAGAGUGUACAGGUAUAGCGCCAACGGGUCUUGAUUGUAAUUCAAUCCAAUCAGUCUCAUGUCAUUUCGAAUGUGACUUUGUGCAAACCAGUCUUCUGUCAUAUCAAACAAGACUUGACCCAGUCCAGCCGUUGACCACAGGGCAGAUAACUAUCUAACUUAAUAAUUUAAAUAUUUAAAUAUGAAGAAUUGUGAAAACGGCGCUUGUAAGUUGUGAAUCGUGAACAAUUGGGGCGUAAAGAAAGUAUCUGCAACCAACCGGCGCGUGUAAUUUUCUAACCUGACCUUAGAUUCUGGAGCUCACUAAAUAAUAGUGAUAUAAAUACAAAAUUAGCUCAAAAAUAUGGCCCUGCUUUUUUGCAACCCAACUUUCCAGGACCACAAGUCCCAUUCCCUCGUAUUACGUCCGCCCAUACGCACGCCAACAACAAAUUCCCAAUUCCCAAUUCCCGAUUCUCAAUUCCUAACCACAAAGCAUCUGAUUCGAACCAGGUCCAACGCGGGCCCACCGCGCCACACCGAACCGGUGACGUCACCAAACACGUCUUCUCUUUUGGACCGCGAAACCCACCGUGUUCUCCAAGCUUCGACCACGGAAAUCGGUGCAUGCACCCGGUGCGGCCGCAAAUUGAUUACUGUAGUUUAAGCAGUGGUAGAAUAAUAACAAUUGUAUUUGUACUUACAAUUGGAUAAUAACAUAUUUAAAUAUAUUUAUAGCAUUUUUUUGAAAUUGAUAUUUAAAUUAUAGCAUACUUUUAUCUGUAUUAAUCUCAUUAGUUCAGAGGUUUAUUGCUUUUUUAAAAAAGUUGAAUGGUUAUAUAGAAUGUACGGAUGCACCCGGUGCAGGCAAUGAACUGACCUUUUUUCUACACUCCCCUCUACUAUAAAUAAAGAACCCGAACCCCUUCCCCUCUCUAAAGUAUAGCAACCCACCCCGGAAUAUCGCCCCUCCAAAUUAGCAGGAGAGCGACGCGCUAUUUGUGUGUGAGAGAGAGAGAGACAGCCCGAAUCCCCUCGAAUCUUCGCGAAGCCCCACGAUGUGCCCCUCCGAUCGCCACCCCCGCGGCGGCGGCGCCGCCUCGCCGGACCUCCGCCCCGCCUUCGACGUCCUCGACGCCGACCAUGACGGCCGCAUCAGCCGCGACGACCUCAAAGCCUUCUUCUCCUCCGCCGCGUCCCCCCUCACCGAGGACGACAUCGUCGCCAUGAUCUCCGCCGCCGACGCCGACCGCAACGGCUUCGUCGACUACGAUGAGUUCGAGCAGGACGGGGCCCGGCGGCGGCGUGAUGGAGGAGGCGUUCCGCGUGAUGGAUCGGGACGGGGACGGGAAGGUGGGGUUCGAGGAUCUCAGGGCGUACCUGGAGUGGGCGGGGAUCCCCGCGUGCGACGACGACGUGCGCGCGAUGAUCCGCAUCGGCGGCGGAGACGGCGCCGACGGGGUCUGCCUCGACGCCCUCGCGAGGAUCCUCGCCGUCGAUUUCGCCUAGGGUUUCGCGACAAACGAUCGGCGAGUUCCUUCCCUCUUCCUCCGCUCGACUUUUUCUUCUCCUUUUUUUUUUUGGUUGAUGGUGGCAAUUUCGGGAAUAAUUAGAAUGUCUUCUCUGUAUACAGUUGUAUCAAAAAAAACUCAAAUAUUAUUGUGUUGAAUUAGAAUCUAUAUUUCCCUGGAGAUUAUGUUUCAAUGUUACCAGCUUUCCAUUUGAAGCAAUUGUAUUUCGAUUGUCAAUUCUGUUUUUUUUUUUUUUUUUUGGUGAAUUGGCGAGAGUCUUUAGAUGGGCCCCACCCUGUGUGUACGGUGGACUCCUCGAUGGUGUUAUUCUUGUCGCUUCCGCGAGUAAAAGUGGAAGAAAACAAAGCGGUCCUGAUCAGAUUAGAGCUCCGUGUCGAUUCUCACCGACCACCAUUGAUCAUUGUUCAUGUUUUUAAUCGGUUGAUUAAAAAUUUGAUGAUUGAUAUUUAAAAUCUUAAAAUUUAAAUUUAAUUAUUUUAUAUUUUUAGUUGAGUUUGGUUUUAAAAGAUUGAAUAAAAUAAAUAGCUUAUCUAUUUUUCUCUGGAAAGGAAAAAAAAUGGUGAAUGAAAGGUCAAAACUUGUCGACUAUAGAAUCUUCAAAAAUUGCUUUUCUAAUUUCGUCCUAAUUUUGGGCUUGUUUGAAUGUUCAAAUUAGUUAUCUUAUUUGGUGAGAUUUUUUCUUGUACAAUGAUGUAUUUUAACUCAUUUGAAAAAUCCAUGUCCUCUCUUAGCCAUUUGGUCCCACUCUCUAUCUAUUAAAUAAUAAAAAAAAUAAGUAAAUUAAGAAAAAAAAAUACUGAGUAAGACAUUGAUGUAGCCUAACGGAAUCUUCAUAUCCAAGUACCUGAGUAAUAUUUUUGUGUAUAUAUAAAAAUUUGAAAAAGUACCAAAAUGUGCUCGCUAAUGACAGCAUUAAUCUAGUACAGUGGACAUCUAAUUUGAACUCCAAGACAAAACAUAUCGAAGAGAAAAUACAUGGCGUCGAAAAAAGUUUUAGGGUGAGAUUCGAACUUAGGAAAGUGAUAAUACCGAAAGCCAUUUCGUAUUAGGGGUAGAAGCUUCGGUGUCCCACUUUGGCGAGAACAAUGGAAGGUGAGAUUCAAACCUAUUCAAAAUUCAAAAUUCAAAAUUCAAAUAGUUCACACCAAGAGAAAAAGUGAGGCGAGCGACUCAAAAGCAGUUCUGGAGGAAGAUAACGCACUAGAUAAAUUAUUCUGAUCAUGGUGACUAGAGGAGUGUAAAAUAGAGAGAGAACUAAAGAUAAAGAGAUCCAAAUACCAUCUUAAAAAACCAAUCAUUUAUCUUUGAUCCUAGGAAUAGCUGUAGCGGAACUUAGCAGUAAUCGUGACUUUGAGAUCUUUCAUUCACAGAACGUUACACUUUACGUUCUUCGUCCUGACCCACCCCGAUCGUCAUGCCGGACCAUCUUAUUUUCCACUGACAAACGCCUUUUCGUGUUGCACAUCUUCACGAUGUGUAGAAUGAUGCUUUGAACACCGCUAUUGUAUAGCGGCCUCAUUUAGUUUAACCUUAGUUUGGAUCAGCGGUUGAAACUUGAUUAACCAAAAUUUUCAGACUUCUGCUAGCAGUCAAAGACCUCAAGAUUGUCUGCCGAUAUUUGGACCUUAUUCGACCGUUCUCUUUCUGAUUCGUCUCCGAGAUAAACUCAAAUUCUACGUGCACAUCGAGGUUGUCUAAAAAUGGAUGAAUCGAAUCAUUCCACGUGUUACCCUACAAUUUCUCUGCCAACAAGUACAAUAUUGAAUGAUCAAGUUUAUUAUUUUUUACUAAUUUCAUAUGAACUCCUUUAAAAAUCUAAGCUUUUUUUUUUUUUUCUUUCGAGAGAUAGGUAGGCACGCUAUCCGCUUCGUUUAUUUCAUUUAAAAAUAAAUUUAGCUAGAAAUGUGAAUCAACUAGAAUUCGAACUUGGGUCUCGGAUACCAACCACCAAGUCCUUUACCACUUGCUCUAGGGACGGUCGGUAAAAAUCCAAAUUUGUUAUUCUCAUAUAUAUAGAGAGAGAGAGAGUUCAACUAAAAAUCGAGAAUACUAUUAAUAAUAUAUGAAUAAUAAUAAUUAUUUAUUAUUUAUUUUUAAAUUAUUAUUAUUCUACUAAUCUUUCAUUAAAUUUUACACAUUUAGCGGUAAAUAGUAAAUAAAUACUACUCACAUAAAAUUAAUAGUAUAUUUAUAUUUAUUUGGAUAAGGCGAUUUUUGUGAUUGUACGUUGCCAAACGUCCGAGCCAUGUAACGCGUCCACGUGGCAACUCGCCGCUCUGUUCGAUUCAUCACCACCGAUCGCCUUCAAAACGGAGACCACCACUUCGUAAUCCUUGAACGCAGGGGCAUUAUAGUCAUUUCAGUCGCCCGCAGUCCCCAUAUUUAUUUCCAUCGUCGCGACUCAACGAGCGCGAAACGCGCGAGGCGAAAGCAUGGCGCUGCGGCUCACCACUCCGAGCGUUUCACCCAUUUCUUUCCCAAACUACCCUCGGAAAACCCCCAAUUUCCCUCCUCUGUCCCGCGUCGUCUUCCUCCUCCUCCGCCCCCGCACUUACCCGGCCAAAACCCUAGCUCCGCCGCUCCCCGCACGGCGGAGCGGCGGCGCCGUCCCCCGCGUUUCGCCGCCGCAGCAGGAGCAGCGAGUGGAGGAGGAGAUCGCUCGGGAGGAGGCGAAUGGGGGCGAGUGGGGUAAGGUCUCCGCCGUCCUCUUUGACAUGGAUGGCGUCCUCUGCAACAGCGAGGAGCCCUCGCGCAUGGCGGCGGUCGACGUCUUCGCCGAGAUGGGCGUCUCCGUCACCGUCGAGGACUUUGUCCCUUUCAUGGGUACCGGUAAUGUUGUUCCCUUCCUUUUCUCGAUCAGUAUGCGAUGGAGAUAUCGAACAUUUCUACUGUAGGUUUCAAGAACUAGGAAACGAUUCUUUGAUUCGCCAUAUAUGUUUUCACGAUUCUGAAUUAUGCUGCGAAACCGCUGCUAUUCUACUCCUAAAGCGUAGAGAGGGGUUUGAGAGGGGUUUUGGGUUCGAGUUCCAGUUCAAGGGAUUGUGCAUUAUGAUAGGUCGCUAAAAAGAGCAAUAGAUUUUGGACUGUGAUGUUAAAAUGACAAAUAGAAUCGUUGCCUUCUUUCUGUUCUUGCGGUUAAUUGUAUAUUAGAUGAACGUUGCAGGUGAGGCCAAUUUUCUUGGUGGUGUGGCUUCGGCCAAGGGAGUGAUAGGAUUUGAUCCGGAAGCAGCAAAGAAACGAUUUUUUGAAAUCUACCUUGAUAAGGUUAUACCAUUUGCAUCGGCUACAACAUUUUUUAAUUCCUUCAAAUGUAGUCCUGCAUUUCCCUAAAUCCAUGUUUUCUCUUCCAAAGGCUGAAUCUUGUUUCUUUUUUUUCUUGAUUGCAGUAUGCGAAGCCUAAUAGUGGAAUCGGAUUUCCAGGGGCGCUUGAACUCAUCAUGGAGGUAUAUACCUAUUGAAUUAGGUUUUCUAAUAUUAUGUUGAUUUAUAAUCAUGUAAGCGAUCAGUUCCUUCCACUUGAAUCCAGUGCAAAAGAGCUGGGCUUAAGGUUGCUGUUGCGUCGAGUGCUGACAGGAUCAAGGUGGAUGCAAAUUUAGCUGCCGCUGGUUUGCCUGCAUCCUUGUAAGUGCUUGUUCUUCUCUAUUUGAUUCAGUUACCAGAUAGUCAUUAUGUUAUGGUGGCUCAUCUUAUUUUAGGUUCACUGUUUAUUGAGGUGCUUAUUUGCACAAACUUCCUGAACAGCUUCUUGAGUACGGCAAGCUGAAAAUCUUGAGCUCAUUGCCAGUGCACGAAGACAAAAUUAGCUUUUGGGCCCAUUAUUCUAUUUGAUAAAUCACAUUUGCAUGCUUAUCUCUAAAGUAGUCAUUGAUAGCAUUACUCCUUUCCUGUGUGAGACGAAUAUCUAUUCCUGCUACUAUAUCUGUUAGAGACAGUUUUAAUUAGCGAUCAUUACAACUGCUCUAGCAAGUCGGAACUAUUAAAACUGACAAGUAUAUUUCCCUUUCACUGGCUUACUGUUCUUACUUGUUAUCUCAUCAAUUUUUAUUGUUUCUGAUAGUAAUAUGAAACCUGCUUUGAUUGCUAGAUUUGAUGCGAUUGUUUCUGCUGAUGCAUUUGAAAAUCUCAAGCCUGCUCCAGAUAUAUUUUUGGCAGCAUCAAAGAUCUUGAACGUAGACCCUAGUGAGGUAAUUUGUGUCAUUCGCCAUAGAAAGAAUAAAAGAUUAGAACCCAAUCUCUUUUAGGCAGUUUCUUCUUAGGAUUUGAAUACCAUAGCUUUAAGUUUCUUCCUUCAUUUAGCUUCCACUGGUUAGAAGCAAUAGUAGCUUUCUCCCUUUUCUCUUUAAAGUUUUAACAAAUAUCUUGCUGGUAGUGACAGAUUUUCUAGUUUUAAAAUAUUAAGUUUCUAUUCAGCUAUUUUAUGAUUUUUUUUCUUUUUCCCUUACAUUUUACCGUUUUGGAGCUUGCAAUUAGAUUUUUCUAUCAAGAGGCUUAAAGCUGCUGCCUGCUAUGUUUGAUCUGCAAAAUUCUUCCUUUCUAAGUGGAUAAAACCACAGUUGCUUUAUAUGAAAAUAAUAUUUGUUCUUGUUUUGCAUUUUCAAUCUAAUAACGUGCUUUUUCUUGAGGAAAAUUGAGCUGAUAUUUACAUUGCUUUUUGUGUCAUUUUGUAUCAGAGUAAAAAAUUAUAUCAUUUGGUAUAAGAGUCAAAAACUGCAUACGGACUCUGGCACAAAUCUUUUCUCGAAGCUAUACGUUUCAGUCAAUUUCCUACUCAAGGUAUCACUAAAUUUUUGACAUCAAAUUGUGUUCAGUGUCUUGUAAUAGAAGAUGCUCUUGCUGGAGUUCAAGCUGCAAAAGCUGCUCGAAUGAGGUAUGCAUCAGCCAUUGGAUGAUAUUAACUUUUAAUUAAUUAAUUGUUGGAGGGUGGUGUAAAACAAUAGAAUACAAACACAUAUACUCUAUGACUCUGUGUGAGGUUCUUAUUUCUGAAAAACUUUGUGUGGCUUAGUCAUGUUGUUUCUAUACGCUUAACUAAUGUGAUAUACAACCAGAUUUGUUCCUAUAUUUAUGCUUCUCAAGUCUAAAUAAUGUAUGUGCCUAUGUGGACAUUCUCUUUUAUUAAGAUAUGAGUCUUCAACUGUCAAAUCCUUUGCAGCCAAGGGCAAGCUGAGAAUGUGUGGUUAAAUACCCAUGCAUUCUGUAACAUGUGCCGAAGGCCCAUAUGAGGCAGAGAAGAUGCUUCAAUGCAUCUCAAUGGGGAGCACCCCUGUACAUGCCAAUAACUAAUUGGCCCAGUAGGUUGCAUGAUGAUUAAACCUUUGCUUUUCUCUGGAUGGCUGCCACAUAGUAGCAAAUAUGUCAAGCCUUGGAUUAAUCUCUCCUUCUUUCUACAUGUAAUGAGAUUACCCUUUUAUGAUCAGGUGGAUCUAGGAAGAAGUUUGUUAUUAGAUCCUUUUCUGAAUUAUGCUGUAUCUUUUGCCACAGAGUGUAGAACUUUGAUCAGGAUUUUUUCAAUUACGCCUCCUUUGAAGCACAUUUAUCCACCUCAUGUCUCUGUCCUGCGAUUACUGUGUGUCUAGUCAAAGCUUUUAAAUUGUUUACAUUACUCAUUUGUCACAUCAUCUCCACUUUGCAUAAUGUGGCUAGUCAGUAAUAUGGCCGCAUAGAAACUACUAUGUUAAUCUACCGGACAAGUUCUUCAGGUUUCUCUUUUUAAGUAGUUCAACAUAGAAUUAUUAUAUAACUUUCUGAUCUUCCUGUUGCACUCCUUGCAGAUGUGUUGCUGUAACAACAACUCUAACGUACGAGGAAUUACAGCAAGCCAGUCCAUCACUAAUCAGAAAAGAUAUUGGAAAUGUUUUGCUUAAUGACAUUUUGUACGGUGGUCCUUCUGGUCGCAGUAUGUAGUUUAAACAGAAAAAAACAUUGAUUAUGUUUAUGAAUAAAUGAUUUAGAAAUUUCCUGGAAAUUGAGUUGCUGUUUACUGUUCUUUCUUUCUCCACUUGCUGAAUGGCAAAUUUGAUAUGUUCUGUGCUUAAGUAGAAUAUAAUUUUGAUGACGUUGCUUUAAAUUGUUGCUAAUGGUCAAGAUAUGCUUGGGCACAAUUAAGUGCUGAUGAGAAGAAGUUGCUGCAGAUGGGAGGAUGCAAAACCCUCAGAAUAUUAGUUCUUUAGGAAAAUCUUCUUCAGAGCAGCUGAAUGGGGCCUUAAGCACUGAUUUUGCUCAGGAAAUCAAUGCUGAAAGUGAGAAAGGCCAUUUUCUUGGAGGGUAAGGUCAGUUCACCUGCUCUUCAGAAUGGUCAAAUUUGUUUAUAUGCGUGUUUGCCGAAUGAAUUUUAUAACUCUGCUUACAGUUAUUACUACAUUUUUCUUAGUUUAAACUUUAAAGAUAAAUAAAAAACUAGGCUGCUCAUACGUCUAAAUCUCCUUUUUGACUCCUAAUAUAAUGUCUAAAAGUCUGCUUGAUUCUAAUUCAACUUUUGUAAUCUUCAUUUGUUGUGAACUGAUGUCGAAGAACUAACAAAGUAAAAGCUGUAUAUUGGGGCUGUAGUUACCUUUUAAUGUAACAUCUAGGUUUCAGAAAUGAUCUGUUGGCAGGUUGCAGGGUUCUCGUCGUGACAUUUUAAGAUAUGGAAGCUUGGGAAUUGCUGUUUCUUCUCUCAUCUUCACUAUUAGCAAUUGGAAGGUAAAGAUGCUGUGAUAUAUGAUUCCUAUUAUUAGGUUUCAUCACCGAAAAUGAAACUAUGACCAUAGUAACCAUAACACAUAUGUUCCUACCUCAGAUUCUAUAUUUCUUAUGUGCCACUUUGAGAGGCCUAUUUAAGAUAGAUGCCGUGAUCUAGUAGAGAAUGUAAAACUAACUUGACUCUCUAUAGAAAAGUUGUCUCAAACCAGUAUACGAAUGUUCAAAAUCCACUUUUCAACGACAGAUUCUUGAUUCUGGACAUCAAUCAAUAAAUAUUUGUAGUUCUCGUCUUUUGCCAUGUGGACAAAAAUUGAGAUACUCUGGACAAAAAUUGAGAUACUCCUUGAAAUCUUCAGUUGCAAGAAUUGUUUAUAUUGUAUGAAUAGCUGUGUGAUGAAAUUUAGGUUUUCUGCAGUUGAAUAAAUUCCUACAGUUUUCGGUUCUUUUAGUAUGAUGUAACAAAAUGAAGAAAAAGAUUGAUCCUUGGGUUUAACUGAUAUUUGUACUAUGAAAACUAGUAAUUUUAUCAGCUUAUCUAGUUCGUGCCCACUGCCCACAAACACUUCAAUAGACAAGAUUUGAUGCCCUAGCAAGUUGCAUAGAUGUCAAAACCAAAAUUAUGUUAGACCACUUUCUAUGUGUAACUUCAAUUUAGACUAGAAGUUUGGUUGCAUUCUUAAGCACUCUUUUGUGUUCUUUCCUUGGUAAUAUUCUACCGAUGUGUUGGUUUUGUUUAUGCAGGCAAUGCAAUAUGCAUCUCCUAAAGGUCUUCUGAAUUUUUUUAAGGGCAAUAAUCGCUCUAUUUUGGGUCAGAAUGAAGGUAUGGUGUGUCUGUGUGAGUCAUAGCUGUGAGUUAUCUCAUGUCGCUUCCUGUUUUUUGCUCGUUGUUUUACUAUAGAGAGUGUUUUAAUGGUACAGUUCUACAUGAAUACAAGCCAGAGAGCUAAUUUAUAAGUAAUAAUAUGCGAAAUAACAUUCCAAAAAGUAUUUUGCUUCGGUGCGGCAGAAACAAGGAUGUCUCAUGGCAACUGAUGAAUUAUGCUUAGUAUUACCGGCACCAUAAGCCCAAGGCAUUUGAUGCAGUGGGAAUAAAUCUUUUUUUUUUCUUUUCAAUCCUUCACCUUUCUUGACUUUGUAUGUGGGCAUGCCAAAACUAAGCACACAGUUUACUGACUGUAGGAGACUCGCGAUCGUCAAGGAUACAACAAGUUAAGAACUACCUGGCAGAUUUAGAAGCUAGGUAUCUACAAUUUUUUCUCACAUUUUUGCUUUUGUCGAUGUUAAACUUUUUGUUCAUUUUUCUGAAGAUUUUUUUUUUCAUUUUUUAUUUUUUUAAGGGGCUCUGCUUCAAAUGUUCCCGAGUUCCCACCGAAUCUUGACUGGUUGAAUACAGCUCCACUUCGGUUUCGCACGGUAGCUUAUAACUUAUCUGAUUAUAAUUUGUAUUUUAUCUCUUCUUUAUCUGUUGGAACCCUUCUUAUAACUUCUUAAUUCGAACUGGGACUUCUUAAUUGGAACUGGGAUCUAUAAAUCUGUUCUAGUGAAGAGCUUUCAAAUAGAUGCAAAUGCAUUAGCAGUUUUAAAUCCAAGUAUAAUGCAAUCUAUUAGAUUAGUGUUGCACAGUUGCGAAGAGUAUUGCUUAUGUUACUUAGAUUACCGACAUAUAUUUGUCUGCAAUUAAUAUAUAGCAUUUAUUUGACUUGAACACUUAUGAUUAUUCAUGUGUAACUUCAUUUUUGUAUUUGCUGCAGGAUUUAAAAGGCAAGGUAGUUCUGUUGGAUUUUUGGACCUAUUGCUGUAUCAACUGUAUGCAUGUGCUACCAGAUCUUGAAUAUUUAGAGAAGAAGUAUAGUAAUAAGCCUGUGAGUUAUCUCUCUUUCUUGAUUGAGUUUAUCGUCUUCUAAGUAGAAUAUAACUCUGUAAGUGCUUUGUAUUCUGGUGAGCAAGUGGAUUAAUUAUAUUAGUCUCUGUAGUUGAAAUCUAGGAGAUUUCCUUUUCUACACGGUUCACGUUAAGAGAAUAUCCAGAAAUUUAGGCUAUUCUUGUUUUCUUUAUUUAGCUUGGGAAAAAAAGAAAAAAAGAAAAGAAAAGAGUUAGUACUAGGAUUUUGUUUUUUUUUGUUGCUAAACAUACUCCAUAACUGUACAGAUUACAAAUUAUUUGCCAUCCGUUGGUGUAUUUAAUGCAUAAAAUUUAAGGUUAAUAAAACAAAAGAACGAAAGCAUCAGCAAAUGAGGCCUAAGCUUUUUGUUUCAUAUAAAGACUUACUAACUUUCCCUGAGGCUUGAAAAUUUUGUUUUAGGAUUUUCCGUUAUUACUUCUUUUUAGGUAUCUAUGAUAUACUCAUGUAAUCCUUCUGUACGAUUUUUCAAGUUCCACAAUGCUUGUUCUAUCGCCUAAUAAUAAACAGGACUUAUUCUGUGCAGUUCACUGUUAUUGGUGUACAUUCUGCCAAAUUUGAUAACGAAAAAGACCUUGAAGCCAUACGAAAUGCAGUUUUACGCUACAACAUCACUCACCCUGUAAGUCAGCAAGUUAAGAUGAGCAGAAUAAUUGCAUCACUAUUUGACUUUCUGAAUUUAAAUAUUUUUUACUAUUUACAAAUUUUCCUUGUUAUCCUUUUUGAAUUCAAAUGUACCAAUGAUGUGCUAACUUCUAUUGAAGUAUCCUGUUUGCUUUUUUGAUCUCGAAACUUUGCUGAGAAGGGCAUUCUUCAGUUUUUACUAUUUACUUUUUGAUCUUUCUACUAUUUAUUGGACUAGUAAUUGCUGGAAUUUCAUGAACUCUACUCUGUCAGAAUAGUAUUCAUAUACUGCAGGAAUUACACACUUGAAAGAGGCUUGAAUAGAAUUUGAUGGGAGCAUAAAUGUUUAAUGAUCACUAUGCUGAUACUUGCCAACUCAAUGACGAAGAAACUACGUUGUUACAAUUUCUUCUACACUUAAAAAGCAAAGUUUUCACUGCUUAUACAUACUGGUCAAAUAAGUUAUCUUAUAUUUUAUCAUGCACUCGUCCUGUGUUUUAUUUGAUCAUAUAUAUUUUUAAAUGCUGUUCAAGGUUGUUAAUGAUGGUGAUAUGUACUUGUGGAGAGAAUUGGGAGUAAAUUCGUGGCCCACAUUUGUUAUUAUUGGGCCAAAUGGAAAGAUUCUAGCACAACUAGCAGGUGAAGGCCAUAGAAAGGUAUUUGCCAGUAUCUUUACAUUAUGCUUGUGACCUUUCUUUCCAUUGCUAGAUCAGCAUCUCAAUUUUUAUGCUAAGAGUUAAUUGUAUUGUUGUUAUUAGUGUAAGCUUUUCAUUAUUCUGUUGAUAAUUUGCUGAACACAAUCUCAGAUUAUUUGGUUAAAUUGUGUUCUUUUCAGUGGGUAACAUAUAUUGUCUUAUGCAUAUCUUCAGGAUCUUGAUGAUUUUGUGGAUGCAUCUCUUCAGUUCUAUGGAGAAAAGAACCCAUUGGAAAACAAUCCCAUUCCCUUGGCUUUAGAGAAGGAUAAUGAUGGCCGUCUAAUAACAUCUCCAUUAAAAUUCCCUGGGAAGCUUGCAAUUGAUGCGCAAAAUAAUAGGCUUUUCAUAUCAGACAGUAACCAUAAUCGAAUUGUAAGUGUUCUUGGCCUUUUCUUUUCUUGUUUAAAGUUUAGCCUUUUUGCCUAGUGAUAAACUAACUAUUAUGGCUAACUUAAUACUAUUUCACUGCAUCCCUGUUUUUGGAAUUUAAGGUGGUUGCAGAUUUGGAAGGAACUUUUAUUACUCAAAUAGGAAGUACUGGAGAAGAAGGAUUAAAUGAUGGUACCUUUGAUAGUGCCUCCUUUAAUCGUCCUCAGGUAAGGUUCAGACUUCUACAUUUUGCCUUAUGUGAUCCUUUGCUCAUUUUUGGUAGUAAUAAGGCACAAGAAAGGAGUUAGGAGGUAAUAAAAUAAUGUCGAGCUACAAAUAAGACAACAUAUUCUAUCGAAAGCACGAAUGCAAGUAUGCAACAUAUUGAUAUUGGAUCCAUAGGAGAGGUCAUAAUGUGCUUCACCACCAUUGGGAUAAUAGACCAUAUGAACUUCUUUUAAGGCUUUGCACCUUCUUUAUUUUCUUUUGGCUUCUGGCUUACUUUUUCAAUUUCAAUGAAGUUUUUCCUUUUAAGGGGUUGAAAUGUGAUAGAUCUUAUGUUACAGGAUUUCUGUAGGAUAAAUUUUCGCUUAUUUGAAUUACAUUUGACAAUUAAUUUUUCAUAAAGAGAAAUUCGUGCGGCUUAUUACAAGUUUGUAGUGAAAGCUAUACAAGGCCUUUGGCUUGGUGCAAAUUAUGCCGAGAAAAAUUAAAGUUUCAUUGCCUUCUCCUGGACCUAGUGCUGGAACUCUGGAAGUAUUUUGUAUUAUUAAUCUUCUUCUCCUUCUUUGUAAGUAAUAUUUCUUGAGCCCACACAUAACAAUAUUUUUGUGUCAAGGAAAUCUUUCUGGUUUCUGGUUCAAAAUAAUUAUUCUAUAAGAUGGAUUGCAGUUCUAAGAAAAUGUUUGUCUGGUAUCUUUUGUUUGUUAGCUUGUUCUCUUAAUGACGGAGCCUCUUCCUUUUCUUGUAAAUAUUGUGAAUAAUUAUAAAUCUAUACUUAUAUCUUCUAACAGCAAAUUCAUUUUCCAGGGUCUUGCGUAUAACCCCAAAAAGAAUCUUUUGUAUGUUGCGGACACUGAAAAUCAUGCUUUGCGGUAAACCUUCUUUUAAUUAAUACUUUACUUUCCUGAGUUCUACCUUUCAUUUUUGUGCAAACAAAUAAAGAACUUUUAUUUUUGUUGACUGUACAAACAAACGGAAACUAGUAUGAGCUAUACAGGAAUAAAGCAGUAAUCAAUGAUUUUAUUUUUUUCUAUUCUAGUGUUGAUUCCAUUUGAGUUGUUGUUUCUUCACUUUUGUAGGGAGAUUGAUUUUGUCAAUGAGACUGUACGAACACUGGCUGGAAAUGGAACAAAAGGUUCUGACUACAAAGGAGGAGGACGAGGAACUGCUCAGGCACGGUUUCACAUCAGAGAAAAAAAAAUCCUCUCCAUUUCUCAUCUGUUUCAUUAAGAGUAACUGUUUGUAGUCUCUUACAUGAAUUAAGUUACUCUAGUCAAAUGGUUAGCAUCACGCGCACGUUCAUUUAUUGCAUGCCCAUUGUAUUUGGACAGUUGAAUGUCUGCAUAGUACUAUCAUCUGCAGUUGGUGGUUCAUAUAUAUUAAGAUUUGAAAACACCAUUGUAGUCCAUGUAGCUUGUCAAUUUUGGCCAUUUCGACUGCUUAUCUUUAGGUCUUAUUUGACUGCCAGAACAAGUUAUACACUGAUAGUUUGUGUUGGUUUAGAUUUUAUUCUAUAAUUGUAUUAUUCUAAUAUAUUACACCUAUGAGAUGGCGGUUUAUCAUAACCAAAAAAUGAGGAUGCUCGAUCCUUACUCUUGUAGAUUUCUUCUUGUGCUAAUCAACAACUAUCAUAUAAUUCUUAUGCAAGAGAUAUACUGGAUUAGGUAUUCAAGCUUCCAAAUGUUCUUAUAGAGCUGCAUAAAGCUGCUGUUCCAAUUUUGUAAUAAUGCCUAUACUGCCUAUUCUGAUUGUAUUAAUUAUAUUAUCUUAUUUUCGUUAACACACUGUUGUAAAAGCACUGCUUUUGUUUGAACUUCCAUUUGUUGACUAGAUACUUUUGUUUGAAUAGGUCUUAAAUUCACCAUGGGAUGUCUGCUAUGAGCCCUCAAACGCGAUCAUUUACAUUGCAAUGGCUGGGCAGCAUCAAAUCUGGGAGCACAAUACAUUAGAUGGAGUUACUAGAGCUUUUAGUGGCGAUGGUUAUGAAAGAAAUCUGAAUGGUUCAAGGUAGAUAGCAUUUAACUCAUCAAGGCUGAAGUGAUUUGAACUAGGCCUACUUAAGUAAAAUGCUUUCACAUUAUCAAUUCUUUAUUUUUCACACUGCUGAAACAUAUACUUUUUACAGUAAAAAACACAUGCUUUUAAUGAUGAUCUUAUUGAUUGUCAGCUCUGCAUCAUGAAGUUAACUGUACAUUUGUUCGCUAUUAUCAGAGAAGAAUUGUGAAAGAAUUUGUGAGUCGCUUGUGUGUAAAACUCCUGUGCAUACGUGACUGAUCUUUUGCCAUUACAUUAAGUGAUUAGACUCAAGCUGUAAACGAGUUAGGUUUUAGAGAUUAUCCUCAAUGUCAAGGAAUUCUGCACAACAUCUUUUAAA
rnacentral:lncRNA from 1 species